rnacentral:lncRNA from 1 species
AUUUCAAGUCUGGAUUAACAUCACCAUCACCAUCCAUUGGAGUUAAACCAUCUGGUAGAGUCUCAAAGUUAAAAUCAGUGAAACCAUCAAAGGCAUUUUCACCUCUUGAUUUGAGCAAGCGUUUGUGAUUGUAUUCGGUGUUAACAAAGGUUAUGUGAAAGCCUCGAAGGUGAAGAAGCUUAGCUAGUUUGAACAAUGGAUUGAUAUGGCCUUGAGUUGGAUAUGGAAUCAACACAGCAUGUGGUUUUCUCUUUGCAAAAUUACUCAUCUUUGAUCAGUCUAUGAUAUGUCAUAAAACUAUACAAAAGAUAAAACAGGUUACGUAAUGUUACAUAUUUUGGUUUUUGUAUGUUUUGCAACAAGUAACACGAGGAACAUUUUUUUAUAAUUAAAAUAAUGGAGCGGCAAAUAGUACGCCUCUUCUAUCCGUAUAGAUAAAUCAAUAGCAAGUGGUCCACAUUUAUUAAUACAUGUCUCUUUGUCUGAAUAUGUUUUCAAAUGAAUCAUAGUUUCAAAUGAAUCAUCAAUAUCAUUCUAGUCCUUGCAAAUAUCACCUAAGCGCCAUGUAAAUUUUCCAAAAAUGCCCUUGUGUAUUCCGGAUUUUAAAAUCCGGAUUCAUGUUUACUAUUUCGAAUUUUAUAAUCCGGACAAUUCUUAUGUAUAAUCAGCCAUCAGACUCUCACAUUUCAGCAAUUUUGAGUUUUGUUUUUAAAAACAACAAAAAAACUAAGUAAAAAAAAUGCUAAAAGCCUGUCAAAUAAAAUCAUAAAAAUAGAAACAUAAAAUUCUAAAAAUCAAAUAAAACUAAUGCAAAUUUUUCCGAAUUUUUCUGAGAAUAUGAAAAAUUAAAAAAAAUGAAAAAUGGGUCUAAACGAUGGAAUUUUGGAUUUUGAGGGGCGGAGUCCCUUAAGAAGUCUCUUCUGUGGGAGUCAUGGUCCUUGAAUUGUUUCUGAUUUUCUGCGGAAGUUUCGGAGCAAUCCAAUCAAGUAGCCCGAAAACCCGAUUUUUGACUAAGAACAUGUAACAAUGACCCAAAACAGAAGGAUGAAAGUUAGGAAGAUUAAUAUUGUCCCUAAAAUGACUAUCCAUAUUACAAACAUGUUUAGAAUUUGUGCUGAUACAGUUCAGAUUAUAUAAUCCGAACUGUUUUACCUUGAAAAAAGUUGUUUAGGGGAUUUCCGGAUUAUAUAAUCCGGAAACAUCAUGUAACACGCCCUAAUUUUUGAAAUUUCUGGAUUAUAAAAUCCGGAAAAAUCCGUUACUCAUUUUUUCACCCUCUAACAAAAGAAAACACCAUUCUGGAUUAUAAAAUCCGGAAACUUAAGGACAUUUUUGGAAAAAUAGGGCGCGCGAGGAAACCCACAGGGUGGGAAAAGUAACUCCCUAAAAUCUUACAACUUCAUAUUUUUAGGCCCCUUAAAUUAAAGCCCAAAAUAUUAAGAUCCAAGUCCAACGAGAUUUUAGGAUCCAUCAGCAGCCACUUUCUUGCAUGAAAUGUGCAUGGCUUCUUACAUGAGAUUGCACAUGGCACUUUGAGUGAAAUUACACUUGGAUGAUUGCAUGAAUAACACAUGUCCUUGUUGCGUGUAGCUCUCUUGCCGCAUGACUUAAUGCAUGUAACUCUCUUGCCACUAGGCUUAAUGCAUAUAAUUCUUCAUUUUCAUUCUCCUAUAGAUAAGAGUUUCUAAUGUAACUUCAUCAUUCAAGUUUUAUAAAGUGAGUGUUCAUCAAAACCGACCAUCUAUUUGUUCUUGUCCGGUUGUUGUAAACCAUUUUUUCAAAGAUUAAUGAUAUUUGUAGACAACUCUCAUUUUUUCUCUUCUUAUUGGUCAAAAUAAUAGAGAGAGACGGCAAAAAGUUAAGAAGAUAAUGUGAAAAUGAAAGAGAUAGUUGCUUUAAAGUUAUACAAAAAUAAUUGUAUAAAUAUGAUUUCUCUUUUUCAAAUUAAUUGGUUUUGAAAAAAAAUACAAAAAUGUCCUACAUUGAAACAUGAAUACCAAAAUAACUUGUUGUAGAUUGUUUCCUUCGUCAUGGCAGUGAGGUUACCAUGAAGAAUUUGUAAACAGUUUGAAGGCGAAGGAGUUUAUAAAAACGUGAAACCGAAAAAUCACAAGAUGGAAGAGGAAAGGAGAUGCAACAGUCAUUGUGUAAAUGGUGAAACACUGAAAGGUUAAUGACAAAUGCAAUAAAAAAUAAUGUUUUAAUAUUGGCAAAUUCUAUGGUACACCUAAUAUAUUUGAGUGUACCGGUACACCCACUCUUUAAAUUAAUAGUUAAAUAAGUUAUUUUUUGAAGAAAAAUAUUAUUUUUUAUCAUUUAUAAUUAUAAUAACUAAAUCUUAUUCAUAAAAAAUGUCAACAAAAUAAAAUUACUAUUUUUUGAAUUUUUAUCACUCAUAAUCGAGAACAUUCAUUAUUUUUUAUGAUAAUAUGUAAAAAUAAUUACUAUAAUUCUUAUAAACAAUGAAAUGAUGUUUUUUCUUAUGAAAUAAUGUUCUAUAAAAUAUAAAUAUUGAAAAUAGCUAUUUAUUACAUAAAAAAUAUCGUUAAUUUAUAAAAUUAUGAAGCAGGAGUACCGGUACACCUCACUUUGUGAGUGUACCGUAGAAGUUCCCUUUAAUAUUUAGUAUUUUUAAAAAAUUCAACAGAUGACAGAAAAAUAUCAGUUAUUUCUUGUCAAAAAAAAAAUAUCAGUUAUUAAAUUUUGACAGCUUAUACAACGAUUAUAUAACGUACACUUUGCAAAAUAGACAACACUUUUUUUUAAGCAACUUUUAUAUAAUCAUUGUUGAUAUAUACAUUUGAAAAAAAAAAAAAAGGAACCUAUCUUCGUCAUUUGGAAUGGCGACGCUCUUCCAAUCAUUUCCUAAUCCUCGCUAAUCCAAAUUGCAAGGUCCAGCUAGUUUCCAAAAAGUAAAAGAUUUUGGUAUUUAGUUCUUAAUGUAGGGCAUUUUUGUAAUUUUUUAGGGUUAAAUAUGUUUUUAGUCCUUACAUUUUACGCCUAUUUGAAGAAUAGUCCCUACAUUUCAUUAAAUGUUUUUAAAAUCCUCCAUAUUUUAUCUCGGUUAUCAAAAUUAGCUGCCGUUAAUUCUCGUAAAGAUCAUAUUUUGAGAGAGAGAAAACAUAUAAUAUUUUUGCUCAAGAAAGAUCAAAUGCCAAGAAAGUUGCUUACCGACGAUAAGUAUAGUACAUAUUUGACUAUAUGAGGUCAGUGUACAAGUAUCAUACAAUAUGAUUGAAUCCAUUUAGAUUGGUCCGGUGACGUUGGUUUAGGACCUUCAAUUAUGCUCUCUAUAGGUUAUUGUGUUCGAUUUUCCCUAUCGUCAAUUUCGGUGAAUUAAUUUAGUUUCUUAAAAAAACAUAAAGUGGAAGUGAUUAGAAAGACACAUAAUUUAUUAUUAAUAUUGUAAUGUAUUCUUGAAAUGUAUGAGGCAGCCUCUGGACAAGUUAUUAGCCUUCCAAAGUCUGAAGUUUAUUAUAGUAGAAGUCUUCCGAUCCCUACACAAGAGUCCAUCACGGCAAUCCUUGGUGUUGGUGCCGUUAUGGGAACUUGGAAGUAUCUGCCUUCCAUGAUUGGCCGAAGCAAAGAAGCCACCUUCGGCUUUAUUAAAGACUGUGUUUGGCAUAAAAUCAAUUUUUGGAGUAGCAAAUGUCUUUCCAAAGUAGGCAGAGAAGUUCUUAUUAAAUCGGUACUCCAAUCCAUUCCUUCUUAUGUUAUGAGUAUUUAUUUGUUGCCAAACAGAUUAGUCGAUGCUAUAGAAAAAUGAUUAAUGCAUUUUGGUGGGGAAAUGGCGGUUCUACUAGAUGAAGUUUGCAUUGACUUUCUUGGGAAAGGUUAUCUGUUCAUAAAAAUUAUGGUGGAAUGAGAUUUAAAGAUCUUACGUCCUUUAAUGUAGCAAUGCUAGGUAAAUAGGGUUGGAAGUUUCAAACAGAUUCAGAUAGUCUUGUGUCACGUUUGUUUAAGGCGCGCUAUAUUCCUCAUACUGAUUUUCUGAUUUGUCGAAUUGGUGCUAAUCCUAGUUAUGUGUGGCGUAGUAUUUUUAGUGCUAAAAUAGAUGUCCAACAUGGUGCUAGAUGGAGGAUUGGAACGGGUGCUAAUAUUCCUUUGUUUGGUGCACCGUGGCUCAAAGAUGGGCGAUCUUUUACAACAAAUUGUCCUAUGUAUGAAUCUCUUUCUCAUGUUAAAGUACAGAAUAUUAUCGAGCCAACGACAAAGGUUUGGAGCACCACUCUUAUAUCUUCUCCUUUUCGUUAUAAUACUAUCCAGAUUAUUUUGAAUACUACUCUUCAUCCACUUGUUAGCGAAAACAAAUUAGUGCGAAAGGCUGAGAAAAAUGGUAAUUAUUCUGUCCGUAAUGCAUAUCGUAUUUGUGUAACUGACAUUGCAGAUAAUUUCCAUUUACAUGUGUCGGGGAGAUGGAAUUUGAUUUGGAAGCUUAAAGUUCCUCCCAAGAUCAAAAACUUUGUGUGGCGUAAGUGUCAGGGAUGUUUCCUGAUGACAUCUCGUCAUUACGUAAUUUUAUAUGUAUUUUGAUCACAAAUUGGAGUUCACAAGGAAUCUUAUGCAGCAAAAAGAGCAGAAAAUGUGUCAUGAUUUGGAACAAACGUGACACGAUUUUAGAAACCAAAACAUGCUUUCAAUAUUGAGGAAAACGUGUCACGAUGGCAAAAACGUGACACGAUUUGAGGAAACCCUAAUUUAGCUUUUUGUUAUUCAGAGGAAACCAUGUCACGAUUAACUUAAAACGCGACACGAUUUUGGGCGAAUUUCUAUGCCUAUUUAAGCUGAAGUCUAUUCCAAAGACAAGCGUUACAAUUUGAAGAGAGCAAAGUGCGAUUUUGAGACUACAAGAUGGCUAGGAGGGCGAUUUCUUCAUCCUUUUACCUGUUCAUGUAUGUAUUGAUUCCUCUAAUGAUUAUGUUAUUUGUAAACACCAUUAUGACUAGCUAAAUCCAUUAGAGGUUAGGUCUGAGAUGAUUCUUUAUAACCUUAAUUGAACCAUGUUGCUGUGAAACUCUAUUUAUUGUGAAUGACAAUAUAGUUUUUAUUCAAUUCAAUUGUUCUUAAUACUUUUUAUCUCGUGAUCAAAUAUAAACAUGAUUUAGUGAGAACGAAUGACUACUGACCCUAGCUUUCGACUUAGACUGAAUUGAAUUGUUCUAAUAAACAUGGUUAGUCUAGGAAUGAAUAAUCAUUUAUUAGUGAUAUUAGGUUAACAUGCUUAAACCUUCAAAAGUUAGUAGACCACCUAAGGAAUUAGGGGCUACAAGUAACCCUAGAAGAGGGUCCGAACUCAAUGGAUUGAUUAUGACUAUUUUGUUAAUUAUCGUGGAACUAAUGAAUCAUUCAUAAGAAUAGGUGCAGUAUACCAAUUAGGGGAACAUAGAUGAUUCGAAAGACCUAAACUCAUCUCUCUCUUAUUCUUAAAACCAACUUUACUUUAUUUCGUUAAUUUUAUGCAAUCAAACCAAUCAACUGCCUAGUGGCAAAUAAAAAUAACUUUUGUACAUCCUAACUUACAACGUAAUUGAAUUAUUGAAAUUAAAAUCAGUCCUUGUGGGAACGAUAUUUUUACUACUUCGAUAGUAUUCGGUACACUUGCGAAACGUCUAUCAUUUCCCAACACGCACACGCCUUAGCAGCCGAGGAGUGCAUUGUUCCACACAGUCUGUUCUUUGUGGUAGUAACUAUGAAGAUAAGAUUCAUGUGUUGUUGGAAUGCCCAGGUGCAAGGAAAGCUUGGCGUGAGGUUCAAUUAUGGGACACGAUUGACAAAACUCUCCGAAAAAAUUAUAAUAUGGAUACACUUAUUUUUACUCUUCUUGAUCAACUGCCUUUGGUCCAAAGAGAAUUAGUUUUCAGAACUCUCAUGUCGAGUUCAAUAGGAGGCAAGCCAAUGGGGUCGCUAAUGAAUUAGCUAGGGUAGCCCCAUCUCAUACUAGCUCCCAUGUUUAUGAUAAUGUACCGUCAUGUAUUUCUUCUUUGAUUGAUAAUGAGAAGCAAUGAAUUUCUCCUUUCAAAAAAAAAAAAAAUAUAUAUUUUAAUGUAUAUAUUCUAUCCACACCAGUCUUGGAGGAGUUUACUAUGGUCGGUCCAUUACAUUGUACCGUUACAUGACAAAACUUAUACAACCAAAAUAACUAUAUUUAAAACUAUGUAACGAGAAACACUCCAAUCUGUUUACUUGUCUUGUUCUAUUUCCUUUGUAGUUUUCUUGCAUAUCAUAUAUUGUAAUAUUCCAUUUGUUUCUAUUAAAGAAAAUACUCAUCCUUAGAAUACUUUAACAUUGCACAAGAAAAUUAUCAGAAAUGAGUAAUUCUGCAAGCAGAAAACCACAUGCUGUGUUGAUUCCAUAUCCACUUCAAGGCCAUAUCAAUCCAAUGUUCAGAUUAGCAAAACUACUUCACCUUAGAGGCUUUCACAUAACCUUUGUUAACACCGAAUACAAUCACAAACGUUUGCUCAAAUCAAGAGGUCCUAAUGCUUUUGAUGGUUUCACCGAUUUUCGCUUUGAGACUAUUCCUGAUGGUUUAACUCCAAUGGAUGGCGAUGGUGGUGAUGCUACUCAAGACUUGAUAUCUCUUCGCGAAUCAAUCAGAAAGAAUUGCAUCGAACCUUUUCGCGAACUUUUAGCUAAACUUAAUGACUCUGCAAAAGCCGGUCUUAUACCUUUUGUUACUUGCUUAGUUUCUGAUUGUAUUAUGCCAUUUACUACACAAGUUGCUGAAGAACUUGCACUCCCAAUAGUGAUCUUUUUCCCGUCAAGUGCUUGUUCUUUCCUGUCUAUUUUACACUUUCGUGCACUUAUUGAGAAAGGUCUCAUACCACUCAAAGGUAACAGUUUGUGUUCCUUUUCUUAUUAUUUAAGAGAGAUGUGUGUGUACAUAUCAAGGUUUUGAAAACAAGGUCUGCAACCGCGAUCUAGGCUGAGCAUAAAGAUUGCGACGUCUUUAUGAUCGUAUAUGAGGCUGCAUUAGGCUUAUUUGGUUGCGAUUAUGAUUCAUAUAAAAAUAGCGACAUCAUAGAGAUGAUUAUUGCGACCAAGAUUGAAAACCUUGAUAUUUAUAUAUUUCUGCUAUUUACUUUUGCAAUUAUGAUAUGCAGAUGAGAGUUAUUUGACAAAUGGAUAUUUGGACACUAAAGUUGACUGGAUUCCAGGUUUGCGAAACUUUAGACUGAAGGACCUUCCUGAUUUUAUACGGACAACAGAUGCUAAUGAUUUGAUGUUAGAAUUUAUCUUUGAAAUGGUAGAUAGACUUCAUAGAGCUUCUGCUAUUUUUUUAAAUACUUCUAAUGAUCUUGAGAGUGAUGUUAUGAAUGCUCUUUAUUCUAUGCUCCCUUCUCUAUACACCAUUGGCCCAUUUGCUUCGUUUUUGAAUCAAAGUCCACAAAAUCACUUGGAAUCUUUAGGUUCCAAUCUUUGGAAAGAAGAUACUAAAUGUCUUGAAUGGCUUGAAUCAAAAGAAUCAGGAUCUGUUGUUUAUGUUAAUUUUGGUAGCAUCACGAUUAUGUCUCCGGAGAAAUUGUUAGAGUUUGCUUGGGGUUUGGCCAAUAGCAAGAAAACCUUUUUAUGGAUCAUUAGGCCUGAUCUUGUCAUUGGUGGCUCAGUGGUUUUGUCGUCUGAGUUUGUGAAUGAAAUUGCAGAUAGAGGCCUAAUAGCAAGUUGGUGUCCACAAGAGAAAGUUUUGAACCACCCUUCAAUUGGCGGAUUCUUGACUCAUUGCGGAUGGAACUCAACCACUGAGAGCAUAUGCGCUGGAGUGCCAAUGCUUUGUUGGCAAUUCUUUGGUGAUCAACCAACAAACUGUAGAUUUAUUUGCAAUGAAUGGGAGAUUGGGAUCGAAAUCGAUAUGAAUGUGAAGAGAGAGGAGGUUGAAAAGCUUGUCAAUGAAUUGAUGGUGGGAGAGAAAGGAAAUAAAAUGAGGAAAAAGGUUAUGGAGUUGAAAAAGAAGGCAGACGAGGACACUAGACUUGGCGGGUCUUCAUACUUGAACUUGGACAAAGUGAUCAAGGAGGUGUUGCUUAAACAAAAUUAGUUCAAAGUGAUUUAUUUUUUGCAAAGAAGUACUUUUCUUGUAUAUCGAUUUUCUCUUGUUUAAUAUAUUUCUUUGACAAGCAAAAACAUAUGAUUGUGGACCACCACCAUAAGUUUUGUUCCUAAGCUUAUGCAAGCUACACAGAAACAGUGUCUGAUGUUAUCAAGACUCAUUCAUCCAAAAUAUAUAUAUGCUGCAGCUUCACUCUACAUAUUCAAAAUAUAAUUUUAUAUCAUUCAACUCGAUUAAUAGAAAAAACAUUUUCACACUUACAAUAUUCCGGUAAAAGUAUAACGGAUUCAUCACAUAAAACAGAACAGAUUCUAGUUUUAGCCCAAAAAAUAAGAGCAAAACAAUUAAGAAAUAGACUAGAGACCAAAGUUGCAAAAUUCAACUUUAUAUGCAUACCAUAUAACUUCAAAAUGUUGAUACUCAAAACAUUUAAGAUUAGCCAGAAUCACAACUUCAGUUUAGGAACUCCAGCUGAUGAUAGGUUCCAUCAUUAUAAACUCAUUAACUUAUUACCAUCAUUGUAUUUGUACUUGCUAAUACACUGCAAUAACAUCAUAACUUAAGACCCUGUUUGGAUUAACAGCUAAAUUUAUAGCUUAUAGUAUUAGUACUUACCAUAAUAAGCACUUAGUUAUAAGCUAUAUUUAUAAUGCGAAAAUAAAAUAAAGUUAAAUUAGUUUUUUUAUAAGCUGUAAGCUCUUUUUAUAAGCUACUCUUCUAGAGCUUACGGAAAUAAGUUGAAAACAACUCAUGAACAUAUAAGAAGUUGUUUACAUAAAUUCUGCAAACAGUCUUCUAAGUGUUUAUGCCGGUAAAUAAGUUCAAUUAAGCUAAACCAAACAGACCCUAAAUCAUGAAUAGCUAGAAAUUUAAGUGCGGAAUAAGGUUGAAACCCUGAUCAACCAAAUUAUAAACCUAUGAAGCACGGACACAGACAGAGACAUUGGACACGAUACUCACAUGUGUUGGAGCUUGUCAAAGAAAUAUAUUCAAUAAGAGAAAAUCAAUAUAGAAAUACAGUACUUUGCAGGGAAAAAAAUCACUUUAAUCUAAUUUUGUUUGAGCAGCACCUCCUUAAUCACUUUUUCCAAGUUCACAUAUGAACAACCACCUGGUCUUGUGUCCUCCUCUGCCUUCUUCUUCAAUUCCAUGGCCUUUUGCCUCAUCUUCUUUCCUUUAUCUCCCACCAUUAAUUCAUUGAUCAGCUUCUCCACCUCCUCUCUCUUCACAUUGGUAUCAAUUUCUGCUCCAAUCUCCCAUUCAUUGCAAAUAUAUCUGCAAUUUGUUGGCUGCUCAGCAAAAAAAGGCCAACACAACAUUGGUACUCCGGCACAGAUGCUUUCCAUUGUGGAGUUCCAUCCACAAUGAGUCAAGAAUCCUCCAACUGAAGGAUGGUUCAACACUUUCUCUUGCGGACACCAGCUUGCUAUUACGCCUCUAUCCGAAGUUUCAUUCACAAAAUCGGAUGACAAAAUAACCGAGCCACCAAUGACAAGGUCAGGCCUAAUAAUCCACAAAAAAGGUUUCUUGCUGUUGGCCAAACCCCAAGCGAACUCUAACAGUUGAUCUGGAGUCAUGACCGUGAUGCUUCCAAAAUUCACAUAAACUACAGAACCUUGUUCCUUAGAUUCAAGCCAUUCAAGACAUUUCAUAUCUUCUUUCCAAAGAUUAGAACCUAUAGAAGCCAAGUUAUUUUGCGGACUUUGAUUCAAAAAUGAAGUUAAAGGGCCAAUGGCAUAAAUAGAAGGGAUCUUAAUAGAUAGAGCAUUUAUUACAUCAUUCUCAAGUUCAUCAGAAGUAUUGAAAACAAUAGAAUUAGCUUCAUGAACCCUAUCGGCCGCUUCAAUGAUAAAUUUUAUCAUUAUAUCAUUAGGAUCAGUAGUUCUUAUAAAGUCAGGCAGGUCCUUUAGUCUAAAGUUUCCCAAACCUGGAAUCCAGUCAACUUUAGUGUCCAAAUAUCCAUUUGUCAAAUAACUCUCAUCUGCAUAUCAUAAUCACAAAAGCCAUUAACAUCAAACUCUCCAAACUUCUAAUACAUAUUAAGACUUAACUAUUUCAUAAGUUCUAGAUAUAAAAGGAUCAGAUUCUUACAACAUGGACAAAGAAAUAACAUAUAUAAAGUGUUACCUUUGAGUGGUAUGACACCUUUAUCAAUCAAUGUACGAAAGUGCAAAGCCGACAGAAGUGAACAUGCACUAGCUGAACUAAAUAGAACACUAGGUAAACCAUGUUCUUCAGCAGCUUGUAUAGUAAAAGUCAAUCCAAUAUCAGAAACUAAGCAACUAACAGGAGGAAUAUGACCAUCAUUGGAAGAAUCUUUAAGUCUAGCAAGAAGUUCACAGAAGGGGUGAUAGAAAUUCUUUCUUAUUGAAUCGGAAAGAGAGAUAAUGUCUUGACUAACAUCACCAUCGCCUUCUAUCGGAGUUAAACCAUCUGGAAUAGUCUCAAAGGUAAAAUCAGUGAAACCAUCAAAGGCUUUUGGACCUCUUGAUUUGAGCAAACGUUUGUGAUUGUAUUCGGUGUUGACAAAGGUUAUGUGAAAGCCUCUAAGAUGAAGAAGUUUUGCUAGUUUUAACAACGGAUUGAUAUGGCCUUGAAGUGGAUAUGGAGUUAUCACUGCAUGUGGCUUAAUUCUCUCUGCAAAAUUGCUCAUGUUUGAAUUUGUGUGUGUAAGAUAAGUUUAAGAAUAAAGGGAUACAAGUGAUCUUUGCUUUAAUAGAGAGAAAAUGUCAUCUUCAUUGUUUGGUGUAAGAAAAUGAGGGAAGUACAAAGGAUAAGUGUUAUACCCUGUUUUUGGACCUAAAAAUACUGGGCCCAAUUUCAUUUCAAACUUUGUCAAUUAUCAAAUUUCAACUGCACAGUUCAAAUUGUCUCUGCCUCGCAGUAUUUUUCAAUCACAAUUUUACCUAUGUUUUUCUUGCAUAAAACCUUUCGAAAUGUCUUUACUUGUCUUGUAAGUCAUUCAAAAGUGUCUCUGAAUCAUUACAUUGCUUUUUCCACAGUUUAUUUCAAAAUUUGCAAAGAAGUCAUACAGAAGGGUAUUUUGGUCAUUUCCCGCAGUGGGACCCAUUUUCAUCCUUGUGACUGUCUCUGAGUCUUUUCAAAUUCAUUUUUAACUUUCCAUCAGUAAACCUUGCUAAUUUCGUUUCAAACUUGCAUCUGAGUCAGUGUCGAGUUAAUUUGAUUCUGUUUAGGUCAUUUUUAGCCCUAGGGGCAUUUUGGUCAUUUCACAUAAAAUUUUGGCAUGGGGAGGUUACUUUGAAGUACCUCAUUUAGGCCAUUGGUUCGUUUUAGUCCGUUUUGUCAAUUUUAUUUUUUUGUUUCGCUUUACGUUUUGUCAGGUUACCAAUUUUAUUUCAAUUUUAUUUUAUUUUGCAUUUUGGUCCUCAAAGAGGUCCAAAAUUGCAUUUCAGUCCAGAAUUCUUUCUAUUUGCAUUUUUAGUCCUUUUUGUUAUUUCCAUUUUAGUCCUUUAAUUUUUCAAUUUUGCAGAAAAGGGCUCAAAGUGUCAAGCUCACGUUUUUUUUCAGUUAAAGUCCAGAUGUCACAAUUCUAUUGGUCCAAGAUCACACAUGUCAGCUAUAAAAGGUGUACAGUGCCACACAGACCCAUUAAUCACACGCCAACUCAUAAACACAAAAUCAAUUUUCUCUUUCUCAGCAAUUAGAUCAAAAACAGAAAAUCUCUCAGAAUUUCUCAAGAACACCAGGAACAAAAACCCUAACCGUUUUCCAGAAACCCUAAUUUUCAUCAGAAUCAACAUUUUUUGCAUCAAUCCUCAGAGAUUCGUGUGAAUCUUCAUCACCGGACUGAAGAUUUUCCUGCAAUUCCAAGUGCGAGCUCGCAUUGAAGCAAGCUCAAGCACUGAUCACAGGAUCUCCUCGCGUGGAUCUAAGAAACAUUGAAGCAAGCUCAAGCACGUAAUCACAGAGAAGCAGAGAAAGAGUCAGAGAAGAUGAAGAAUCUGGACCGGUGAAGCAAACAGAAUCAAAAAUCAUCAAGAACAGAAUCAAGAUUUCCAAAGAUUUCCUCCAUUAAAGGUUUCAACCAAAACCUUAGGUAAAACUCAUAAUCUUUUCUCAGAAAAUAAUAUCACUGUUAAACCUAAAAAUCACGCAAGCAAAACAGAUCCAAAAUUUCCAGAAUUCAAAGCCAAAACCGUAACCGUGAACACAAAACCUAGAUCCAUAAGGAUCUAAGUUUUGAAAGCAAAAACAAACAUCAAAGAGGUGUUAAACAACGAAAUGAUGUAGAUCUUCAAGGAUCUAAACGUUUUCUUUCAAAAAAUCAAAAUCAAAUUCAAAGCCGUACGACAAAUUUCCAGAUCUACAUCGUUUCGAAUUGAAUUUGAAAAAACAAUUGCUGGAUUCGUGUUUAGGGUUAAAGGACGAAUUGAUUGAUGAAGAAAUUUUGAAAUUCUGGAAAUUUUAGGUCACCGGAGUUCUUGAACUCGCCGGAGAAGAUGAAGUUUCCGGCGGACCUUCAAGGUCUCCGCCGUAGCUUCAUCCUCGCCGGCGGCGAGGUUAGUGAGAGGUGAGAGAAGAGAGAGGAACUUAGAGAGAGAAAGGGGAGUGAAAAGUGAAGAAAACCGGAACCUCUUCCCUUAUAUAAGCUAGUGAACCAGACCGGUUCAAGACCGGUCCAAUCCUGUUGAUUCCAGGCCGUUUGAUCUAGGGUUUCAGGAUCCUGGAUCAAUCCUGUGGCUCCUGUGAAUCCGGUUCUUUAGGGUUUUGGGUUGGGCCUUUGGUUUCUUUGGAUCUUUACGUUUUGCUAUUUCUGUGCUAUUCACACCCCUAUUUUUUGCUGCCUGCACCUAUGUCUUGAUUAAAAUUGUGAUAAAAUUCCUAGAAAAAUUCAUACAUGUUUCUUGAUAUUUUCUUAGUGUUUUUAUGACAUUUUUGCACAUUAAGGAUCUAUGAAAAUUUUGUAUAAUCAAUUCAUAGCAUUUUAAUUCUCUUUGAAUUAUUUGUUAUGGAUUCUUCUUCACACAUUUGUCCUUGAUGUGAGAAUAUGUAAUAAAAGCUACUUGAUGUGUUAAUAUGAGAGAUUUGUGCCUAUAAUUUCAUGUUGAUUUGCUGUUUUGAUUUGGUUUAUGAGUUCUUGUUUUUAUGAACAAUAUAUCCAUAUUUUGAAAGAUAUAAAAUGCCAAGUUUACUCUAGAAAAUAUGGCAUGAAAUCAUGCUUGCAUGUUUCCAAUAAUUCCAUGCUAUAACUUGAGAUAAAGAAAACUCUUUCAAAAUUUGUUAAAGCAUGAGAAUUAGAGGCCAAGAAUGCUUUAGGUUUCAUACCUAAGUUUUUAGGGUUUAAUGUCAUUUUGUUAACUUUUUGUGCCAUCUUGCAUGCUUUUAUUUCUUAGUACUUGUUAUGUUUUUUCUUUUCACUAACAAGUUUAUUUCCAUGUUUCAUGCAUCCCAUUUAGCAUUCCCUCCACUUUCUUUAGCCUAGCCUUUAUCUUUUGCAAGUUUUAAUUCAUUUGGUAAUGUAAUUUGUUAUCAUUGGUUUGUAGCUUGGCAAAGGGGCCAUAGAAUGUAUUUAGGCAAUUUUUGUAAUAUGGACUAUGGACACUAUGAUGCACCGACACGCACACACUCACCUUAGAUGUAUGCAUAGGAUUGUAUGGUUAAAUAAGCGUUUAGGUUUUAAACACUUAGAGAAAAUCCAUCUUUUUUUCAAAAAAAAAUAAUUGAACUUCACUUCAAAAACUUUCCUAAUAAGUAUGAAGUCAACACUUCAUUUUUUUCCUUUCUUUUUUUCUUAAGAAAAAUUCAAUUCAUCUUAAUCAUUUAGACUUUCUUUCUAAUCACUAAUCAAACCUCACUUUUUGCUAAAUCUAAUGCUCAUGAAGCCUCCCAAUCUCCUUCUUCAAAACCUUUUUUCUCAAAACUUAAAAUUAAACAAUUAGAACAAAAAACAAGUCUUUUUAGCAAGAACUACGCCGGUUUUGAUCCCGUAAAACGGUACGUAGGCAAUGAGUCAAAACUCAUCCAAGCCGAAAUAAAAUCCAAUUCUACUUCUUCUCACCCCCAUUCUUCACUAAUCAUACUUUCUUUUUUACAAAUAAGCAAUAAAACUAAAGCGUAGAAAUAAACUUAGGAAAGCGGUUCUUAUGGAGUACCAUAAUCGCUCCGGGUGCCUAACACCUUCCCGUAGCGAAAACGACCCCCGAACUUAGAAUCUAAGGGUUUUUCUCAAUUUUGCCCUUCCCAAGAAAAAAUAGAGAAUAUCAACGGUCAAAAGGUUCAAGUCCAAUUAAUGGCUUGGCACCCAAAAACCAUGAUAACAGAAAUGGCGACUUCACUGGGGAUUUUUUUAGCGGGUCACGCCUAGUUUUCCUUAGUUUAUUUACGCUUUGUUUUAUUGCUUACAUAUGUGAAUACUUGUUUACUUUCAUUUGACGUGUGGGGUGAGAAUAUCAAAAGUCCUAUACCCGGGCUGAGUGAACUUAUGUUUAGGUAGAGAUAUAAUCGAGAAUUCGAUCCGGGGGUUGCCUCGUGUAUUGGAUUAUGCGAUCAAUCUCACAUAGCUGAGGCAUUUUGAAGGUGAUAUUGUCGGCGUGUGUUGUCAUGCUUAGGCACUUCACUUUCAAUUGUUCGACGAAGCUAUGAACCGUAGUUACCAAACCCAUCCUAGCCUUUUUAGGACGUAGUGCGGUGGCUAAAUUGAGUGUUGUCUCAAACUUUAGUCGUCACGCGAUACUACACUCAAGCUAGACCUUCUCACAAAUAAUCAUGGAACGGGUGUCGUCCUGUACUACCAUGAUAUAUGUGAGAGAGGUUGCAGUUUGGGAACUGUGUUAGAACCAUGGUUACUACUAUCCAAAGCCUUAGUUCACCGGACGCCGUGUCCAUCCGUGGCCCCGUUACUUUGAAACUCAAUCCACUUUUAACAACACGAUCAUGCAUACAUGCAUUCAUGCAUAAACAUUUUUCAUGCAUUCAUCGAAGGGUUUAAACAAAUGGAAAUUUUUGUAAAUAAUCACAGGUAUGAAGAAGACUAAGUGCUACAAGUUCAAGGAAGUGGAUUUGGUUAGUUUGAGAGAGUUGGCACUCAAGGUCAAGAGUCAAACAGGGUUCCGACUCCGGUAUGGGGGAUUGCUUACUUUGCUCCGAACCGAUGUGGACGAGAAGCUAGUGCACACUCUAGUGCAAUUUUAUGAUCCAAGCUUCUGUUGCUUCACCUUCCCGGACUUCCAGUUGGUUCCUACUCUCGAGGCUUACUCCAAUCUAGUGGGUUUACCUAUGGCCGAGAAGACGCCUUUCACCGGUCCCGGGACUUCUCUUACUCCUCUGGUUAUUGCUAAGGAUCUCUACCUCAAGACUUCCGACGUCUCCAACCAUCUUAUUACCAAGUCUCACAUUCGGGGGUUCACUUCGAAGUAUCUUCUUGAUCAGGCUAAUCUCGGUACUACUCGUCAGGAUACACUCGAGGCUAUUCUUGCUUUGCUUAUCUACGGGCUCAUUCUCUUCCCGAACCUCGACAACUUCGUGGACAUGAAUGCUAUCGAGAUCUUUCAUUCCAAGAACCCGGUUCCUACUUUGCUAGCGGAUACCUACCACGCCAUUCAUGACAGGACUCUCAAGGGCCGUGGGUAUAUUCUUUGCUGCAUACCUCUUCUGUAUAGGUGGUUUAUUUCGCACCUUCCGAGUUCCUUCCAUGAUAACUCGGAGAACUGGUCCUACUCGCAGCGGAUUAUGGCCCUCACUCCUAAUGAGGUCGUCUGGCUCACUCCGGCCGCUCAGGUGAAGGAAAUUGUCAUGGGUUGUGGAGACUUUCUCAAUGUACCUCUUCUUGGUACUCGUGGAGGAAUUAACUACAACCCCGAGCUUGCUAUGAGGCAGUUUGGUUUUCCUAUGAAGUCGAAGCCCAUCAAUCUUGCUACAUCUCCAGAGUUCUUCUUCUAUGCGAAUGCUCCUACCGGACAAAGGAAAGCUUUCAUGGAUGCUUGGUCCAAGGUUCGAAGGAAGAGUGUGAAGCAUCUAGGUGUGAGAUCCGGUAUUGCUCAUGAGGCCUAUACUCAGUGGGUGAUAGAUCGAGCUGAGGAGAUCGGUAUGCCUUAUCCAGCUAUGAGAUAUGUGUCUUCGUCUACUCCAUCUAUGCCUCUACCUCUACUCCCCGCGACUCAGGAUAUGUAUCAGGAGCAUCUAGCUAUGGAGAGUCGUGAGAAGCAAGUGUGGAAAGCUCGGUACAAUCAAGCCGAGAAUCUAAUCAUGACUUUGGAUGGUAGAGAUGAGCAGAAGACUCAUGAGAAUCUAAUGUUGAAGAAAGAGCUAGCUAAGGCCCGGAGGGAAUUGGAAGAGAAAGAUGAGCUGCUUAUGAGGGACUCCAAGAGAGCCAGAGGACGACGAGACUUCUUUGCCAGAUACUGUGAUUCAGAUUCCGAGUCCGAUGAUCUUCCGACUACUUCCUAUGCUUGAGGGCUUCAUAUGUUUAUUUCAAAGUCUUUCUGUUGAGAAUACUAUGUAGUUUUGUUUAUUUGCAAGAUUUCUAAUUUGUUUAAAAAUCCUUCGAUGAGAGAAUAAGUCUUUUGCAUUUGCAUUUGCACAUCAUGCAUCAUAUGCAUCAUGCAUUGGUCACAAAGGCUUCCAAGUGCUUACCACCUCCUGGUUUCUCUGCCGCAGUGUGAAAAGUGGCUCGUGCUCAGAGAAUUUACGAACCUGAUAGAAUUGAUCGAACCAGAGAAUACAGAAGAAAGAAAAGGGCUAUGGAAGAAGAGAACACACAGCUUCGUACCGAAUUGGCAUCUCUAAGGGAGGAAUUGGCCAAAGCUCAUGAUGCUAUGACUGCUCUGUUGGCUGCUCAGGAACAACCAGUUCCUGUAGUUUCUACAGCUGCAAAUGUGACUCCUACCGUAACAACUGAUCCCCGCUCUAUCAUGCCAUCCGGGUACCCUUACGGACUUCCGCUGUACUAUACUACUAAUACAGGGGCAGGGACCUCUGGUACUACCAACAAUGGCCCAAUCCCAGGGGCAAACUUAACUCCUGUUAGUACCGCCUUGACUCAAGCUGCAACGACUGUUACCGAGCCCAUUGUGAAUGCGGUGCCUCUAUUUGUCCAUGCUAAUGCGCACCACGGGAGUAUUGCCACAACCGGAACUAUGGAAGAGAGAAUGGAAGAACUUGCCAAAGAGCUCCGACGGGAAAUUAAGGCCAACAGGGGAAACGGGGACUCCAUUAAAACCCAGGAUCUCUGCUUGGUAUCGAAGGUAGAUGUUCCAAAAAAGUUCAAAGUCCCGGAGUUCGACAAAUAUAACGGGCUGACUUGUCCUCAAAAUCAUAUUGUCAAAUACGUCCGGAAGAUGGGCAACUACAAGGACAAUGAUUCCCUUAUGAUCCAUUACUUCCAAGACAGUCUGAUGGAAGAUGCUGCAGAGUGGUAUACUAGUCUGAGCAAAGAUGAUGUCCAUACCUUUGAUGAGCUAGCCACCGCUUUCAGGAGCCACUACGGGUUUAACACUCGUUUGAAGCCGAAUAGGGAGUUCCUCAGGUCCCUAUCUCAGAAAAAGGAGGAGAGUUUCCGUGAAUAUGCGCAAAGGUGGAGAGGGGCAGCUGCCCGUAUCACUCCUGCUUUAGAUGAAGAAGAAAUGACCCAGACAUUCUUAAAGACCUUGAAGAAGGAUUAUGUUGAGAGGAUGAUCAUCGCCGCCCCGAACAACUUUUCAGAGAUGGUCACUAUGGGAACCCGUCUUGAGGAAGCAGUCAGGGAUGGAAUCAUUGUGUUUGAGAAAGCUGAAUCUUCUACGAGUGCAUCGAAGAGGUAUGGUAAUGGACACCACAAGAAGAAAGAAACGGAAGUGGGGAUGGUGUCAGCUGGAGCCGGUCAAUCUAUGGCUACUGUUGCACCUAUCAAUGCAGCUCAAAUGCCUCCGUCAUACCCAUAUAUGCCGUAUUCUCAGCAUCCGUUCUUCCCACCGUUUUAUCAUCAGUAUCCUUUGCCACCAGGCCAACCUCAGGUUCCUGUCAAUGCCAUCGCUCAACAGGUACAACAUCAACCGCCAGUUCAACAGCAGCAGCAGCAGUAUACUAGACCAACUUUUCCUCCUAUACCAAUGUUGUAUGCUGAGUUGCUUCCAACUUUACUCCAGAGAGGACAUUGCACAACUAGACAGGGCAAGCCACCACCUGAUCCGUUGCCUCCAAGGUUCAGGUCUGAUCCCAAAUGUGACUUUCAUCAAGGUGCCUUAGGUCAUGAUGUCGAGGGGUGUUAUGCUUUGAAGUAUAUUGUGAAGAAGCUCAUUGAUCAGGGAAAGCUGACUUUUGAGAACAAUGUUCCACAUGUCCUUGACAAUCCACUACCAAAUCAUGCCGCUGUGAAUAUGAUCGAAGUGUGUGAGGAAGCUCCUAGACUUGAUGUCCGCAAUGUUGCCACUCCCCUGGUGCCUCUGCAUAUCAAGCUAUGCAAAGCUUCUCUGUUCAGCCAUGAUCAUGCCAAGUGUCUAGGAUGCCUCCGUGAUCCUUUGGGUUGCCAUACUGUUCAAGACGACAUCCAAAGCCUGAUGGAUGAUAAUCUUCUGACUGUCAGUGAUGUUUGCGUGGUCGUGCCAGUUUUUCACGAUCCGCCUGUCAAGAGUGUACCUUUGAAGAAGAAUGCUGAGCCUUUGGUGAUAAGGUUGCCAGGACCAAUUCCUUAUGUUUCGGACAAGGCAGUGCCAUACAAGUACAAUGCUACUAUGAUAGAAAAUGGAGUAGAGGUGCCUCUAGCCUCCUUUGCCACAGUAAGCAAUAUUGCCGAAGGGACUUCUGCAGCGCUAAGAAGCGGGAAGGUUCGUCCGCCAUUAUUUCAGAAGAAGGUAGCUACGCCAAUCACUCCACCAGUUGAAGAAGCAACUCCAACCGUUGUUUCACCCAUUGCUACAGAUGUGAAUCAGCCAGGCAAGUCUAUAGAGGAUUCGAAUUUAGAUGAGAUUCUGAGAAUAAUAAAGAGGAGCGACUACAAGAUCGUUGAUCAAUUGCUGCAAACUCCUUCGAAGAUAUCCGUCUUGUCACUACUCUUGAGCUCUGAGGCUCAUAGGAAUACCUUGUUGAAAGUGCUGGAGCAGGCUUAUGUUGACCACGAAGUCUCGGUAGAUCGUUUCGGUGGCAUAGUGGGAAAUAUCACUGCUUGUAACAACCUCUGGUUCAGUGAAGAAGAGUGGCCAGAAGUGGGAAAGGGUCACAAUCUGGCUUUGCACAUCUCGGUGAACUGUAAAUCAGACAUGAUAUCAAAUGUGUUGGUGGAUACCGGUUCCUCUCUCAAUGUAAUGCCCAAGACAACUCUAGAUCAGUUGAGCUACCGCGGGACCCCGUUGAGGAGAAGUACUUUCUUGGUCAAAGCUUUUGACGGAUCUCGAAAGAAUGUGCUGGGAGAGAUAGACUUGCCGAUAACUAUUGGCCCUGAGAAUUUCUUGGUUACCUUCCAAGUGAUGGACAUUAAUGCAUCCUACAGUUGCCUGCUGGGAAGACCGUGGAUACACGAUGCAGGUGCGGUUACUUCCACUUUACAUCAGAAGUUGAAAUUUGUGAAGAAUGGAAAACUCGUUACAAUCCAUGGUGAAGAAGCAUACUUAGUCAGCCAGUUGUCUUCUUUUUCUUGUGUUGAAGCAGGGUCUGCUGAAGGGACUGCUUUCCAAGGUUUGACCAUUGAAGGCGCAGAGCCUAAGGAAGCUGGGGCUGCUAUGGCUUCAUUGAAAGAUGCUCAGAGAGCCAUCCAAGAAGGUCAGACUGCCGGCUGGGGCAAGGUGAUACAGCUCUGUGAGAACAAGCGUAAAGAAGGUCUCGGGUUCUCCCCGUCAUCAAGGGUUUCCUCGGGAGUCUUCCACAGUGCAGGGUUUGUUAAUGCUAUCUCUGAAGAAGCCACUGGAUCUGGUCUCAGGCCUGUAUUUGUUACACCAGGAGGCAUUGCGACAAAUUGGGAUGCCGUUGACAUUCCUUCAAUCAUGCAUGUUUCUGAGUAAUGUGUCUUGUUGCUUUAGUACUUUGUUUUCAAAAUAACAAUCCUCUCGCUCUGCCCAAAGCGAGAGUGAUAUUUUCUGUAAGGGCAUGUUUGUUUCGGCAUUGCCGUUGAUUAAUAAAAUUUUGUCGUUUCUUCCACGACUACUUUUUUUAAGUGCUUUUUCCCUUGGAAGCAAUGGUAAUGCCAGAAAAAACCAAAACGUCUGUAUUUUCUUAUUAAUUUCAAAAAUCUGCAUGAAAAAAAACUCUUUCUAAAAAUCAUCCAAUCAUUAUAUGCAGGUUGAACCAUAAUAAAUCCGUUGAACACAGUAAUCCUACGGUUCCUCCAAGUUUUGAUUUCCCUGUAUAUGAAGCCGAAGAUGAGGAAGGUGAUGACAUACCGUAUGAGAUCACUCGGUUACUUGAGCAAGAAAAGAAAGCCAUUCAGUCUCACCAAGAAGAGAUUGAGCUUAUCAACAUAGGUACCGAGGAAAACAAGCGAGAAAUCAAGAUUGGUGCUACCCUAGAGGAAGGGGUUAAACAGAAGAUCAUCCAACUCCUCCGGGAAUAUCCGGAUAUUUUUGCAUGGUCCUAUGAAGAUAUGCCAGGUCUAGACCCUAUGAUCGUGGAGCAUCGGAUCCCUACCAAGCCUGAAUGUCCUCCCGUCAGGCAGAAAUUGAGAAGGACUCAUCCUGACAUGGCCCUCAAGAUUAAGAGUGAAGUUCAAAAGCAGAUUGAUGCGGGUUUCCUCAUGACAGUGGAGGUAUCCCGAAUGGGUUGCCAAUAUUGUGCCUGUGCCAAAGAAGGAUGGUAAAGUCCGGAUGUGUGUUGACUUUAGGGACUUGAACAAAGCCAGUCCAAAAGACAACUUUCCGUUACCUCAUAUUGAUGUGCUUGUUGAUAAUACUGCUCAAUCUAAGGUGUUCUCCUUCAUGGACGGUUUUUCCGGUUAUAAUCAGAUCAAAAUGUCUCCUGAAGAUAGAGAAAAGACAUCUUUUAUCACGCCAUGGGGUACUUUCUGCUACAAAGUGAUGCCGUUCGGCCUAAUCAAUGCUGGUGCUACCUACCAAAGGGGAAUGACCACUCUGUUUCAUGACAUGAUUCACAAAGAAGUUGAGGUAUAUGUGGAUGACAUGAUUGUGAAGUCAGCAGAUGAGGAGCAGCAUGUUGAAUAUUUAACAAAGAUGUUUGAAAGGUUGAGAAAAUACAAGCUGCGACUGAAUCCCAACAAAUGUACAUUCGGUGUCAGGUCUGGAAAGUUAUUAGGCUUCAUUGUCAGCCAAAAGGGCAUUGAAGUCGAUCCUGAUAAAGUCCGGGCCAUCCGAGAAAUGCCAGCUCCACAGACAGAGAAGCAAGUCAGAGGUUUCUUGGGACGUUUGAAUUACAUCUCCCGAUUCAUAUCUCAUAUGACUGCAACCUGCGGGCCGAUCUUCAAACUACUUAGAAAGAACCAGCCUGUUGUAUGGGAUGAUGAAUGCCAAGAAGCUUUUGAUAGCAUCAAGAAUUACCUGCUGGAACCACCUAUCCUUGUCCCACCCGUGGAAGGAAGGCCUUUGAUUAUGUAUUUGGCAGUAUUUGAUGAAUCCAUGGGAUGUGUACUUGGUCAACAAGAUGAAACCGGAAAGAAAGAGCAUGCUAUCUACUAUCUAAGCAAGAAGUUCACCGAUUGUGAAACUCGGUAUACAAUGCUUGAAAAGACUUGUUGUGCUCUAGCUUGGGCUGCCAAACGCCUGCGCCAUUAUUUGGUGAAUCAUACAACUUGGUUGAUAUCCAGAAUGGAUCCGAUAAAGUAUAUCUUUGAGAAAGCGGCCGUUACUGGGAAGAUCGCACGCUGGCAGAUGCUUUUGUCUGAAUAUGAUAUUGUGUUCAAAACUCAAAAGGCAAUCAAAGGCAGCAUUCUUGCCGAUCACCUUGCUUAUCAACCUCUUGAUGAUUACCAACCAAUUGAAUUCGAUUUCCCUGAUGAAGAGAUCAUGUAUUUGAAAUCCAAAGACUGCGACGAACCGUUGAUUAAUGAAGGUCCAGAUCCCAAUAGCAAGUGGGGUUUAGUCUUUGAUGGUGCUGUCAAUGCUUAUGGCAAAGGAAUUGGGGCAGUCAUUGUAUCCCCGCAAGGGCAUCACAUUCCUUUUACCGCCCGUAUUCUGUUCGAAUGUACAAACAAUAUGGCUGAGUAUGAAGCAUGUAUCUUCGGGAUCGAGGGAGCAAUUGACAUGAGAAUCAAACACCUCGACAUCUAUGGAGAUUCUGCGCUCGUCAUCAAUCAGAUAAAGGGUGAAUGGGAGACCCACCAUGCUAAGUUGAUUCCUUAUCGUGAUUAUGCGAGACGUCUUCUGACAUAUUUUACAAAGGUUGAGCUGCAUCAUAUUCCUCGUGAUGAGAACCAAAUGGCUGAUGCUCUUGCUACUCUAUCUUCCAUGUUUCGAGUAAACCAUUGGAAUGAUGUGCCAUUAAUUAAAGUGCAACGCCUUGAAAGACCUUCGCAUGUGUUUGCUAUUGGGGAUGUGAUCGAUCAGGCUGGUGAAAAUAUGGUUGACUAUAGACCCUGGUACUACGACAUCAAACAGUUCUUGCUGAGCCGUGAGUAUCCGCCGGGUGCUUCCAAACAAGACAAGAAGACCUUGAGAAGAUUGGCCGGUAGAUUCUUGUUAGAUGGAGAUAUUCUGUACAAGAGGAACUAUGACAUGGUAUUGUUAAGAUGUGUUGAUGAACAUGAAGCAGAGCAGUUAAUGCAUGAUGUACAUGACGGUACCUUCGGGACCCAUGCUACAGGGCAUACUAUGUCAAGAAAGUUGCUACGGGCAGGUUACUACUGGAUGGCCAUGGAGCAUGAUUGCUACCAAUACGCCAGAAAAUGCCACAAAUGUCAAAUCUAUGCUGAUAAGAUUCAUGUGCCUCCGCACGCUCUCAAUGUUAUGUCAUCCCCAUGGCCGUUCUCAAUGUGGGGCAUCGAUAUGAUUGGAAGAAUUGAACCGAAAGCUUCAAAUGGUCAUCGUUUCAUCUUAGUGGCAAUUGACUACUUUACCAAAUGGGUUGAAGCAGCAUCUUAUACCAAUGUGACCAAGCAAGUGGUAGCUAAGUUCAUCAAGAACAACAUCAUCUGUCGAUAUGGUGUUCCCAGCAAGAUUAUUACCGACAAUGGUACCAACCUGAACAACAAUGUGGUGCAAGCUCUUUGUGAAGAAUUCAAAAUUGAGCAUCAUAACUCUUCUCCUUAUAGACCUCAGAUGAAUGGUGCAGUUGAGGCCGCCAAUAAGAAUAUCAAGAGAAUUGUCCAGAAGAUGGUAACCACUUACAAGGACUGGCAUGAGAUGUUACCCUAUGCUCUGCAUGGCUACCGUACUACCAUGCGCAGUUCAACCGGGGCAACCCCUUUCUCUCUUGUAUAUGGUAUGGAAGCAGUUCUUCCUUUGGAAGUGGAGAUCCCAUCUCUCCGUGUGAUCAUGGAAGCAAAGUUAUCCGAAGCUGAAUGGUGCCAAAGCCGGUAUGAUCAGUUGAAUUUGAUUGAGGAAAAACGUAUGGAUGCCAUGGCUCGUGGACAGUCAUAUCAAGCAAGAAUGAAGACUGCCUUUGACAAGAAAGUCCAUCCUCGAGAAUUCAAGGUAGGGGAACUUGUAUUGAAAAGGAGGAUAAGCCAGCAACCCGACCCGAGGGGCAAGUGGACGCCUAACUAUGAAGGUCCUUAUGUCGUCAAGAAGGCCUUCUCCGGUGGUGCUUUAAUCCUUACACACAUGGAUGGUGUAGAGCUUCCAAAUCCAGUGAAUGCCGAUAUAGUCAAGAAAUACUUUGCCUAAAAAUAUGAAAAGAACAGCGUGGUAGGUCGAAAACCCGAAAGGGCGGCCUAGGCAAAAAUGCGCUUCCCGGUGGAUCGAAAACCCGAAAGGGCGGUCCAGGCAAAAAUAAGGGACAAAAAAAACAACAAAUAUGAAAAGCUCGCUGAGAUUGUACACAACUCAGGCAAGAAUGAGCGUCUCGAUGAGCCGAAAACCCGGAAGGUCGGUUCAUGCAAAAAUGAGAUUGAAACAAAAGGCAAGUAACUAUAUCUGGCCAACCACCGUCCCCCUUGGGGCAUCUGCAGCUGUUAAUGCCUAUCUUCAUCAAAAGCUUCUGUACUUGUGAAUUCGAAGUUUCUGGGAAAUGUCAUGAUUACUGUGUUCAAUGUACCACCAACCAAUAAAAUUACCAUUUUCCAAGCUUUGUGAAUCCGUGGAGUCGUGCCUUCGGCUGAUCACCACUCUUAUACAUCAAUUUGAGCUUGUGCUUUUGUUUGAAACUCUAUUUUUCUUCUACUUUCAAAGCUGUAUACAAAACAUUCUCUUUCCAUUUUGAUAAUGACAAUGCUUGAAACAAACAUUUUUGAAAAUUGAAAACUUUUUGUCUAUUUUGAAAAGCAAACCCGAGCAACAGGGUACAUUCAAAUGAACAUGCAUGAGCGAGUGUGUGUGGGUGUCUAUCUUCAAUAUAUGUUACAAGCAGGUUCUCCUCCAAGAUAAUCUGUGGUCAAUGGCAAGAAUGAAAAAACAGAAUGAAAAUGCAUGAAAAUGAAUGAGCUCGCUAAGUUGAAAACCCGAAAGGGCGACUUAGGCAAAAAUGAGCACCCCGCUGGAUUGACAACCCGAAAGGGCAGUUCAGGCAAAAAUGGGGCAUUGAAAAGAAUUUAUUUCCCCGGUGGGUCGAAAACCCGAAAGGGCGAUCCAGGCAAAAAUGGGAUGCAAAAAAUGAAUGAUGAAGAUUGAGAAUAUAACAUGCAAAAAGCAUUGACCACAGAUGCGAUGUCCACAACAUGCCCAGCACAACGGCAUUAUCCCCAGUAAAGUCUCUCAAGAUUCUAUCCCCAGCAAGUUGCAUAGCUACCAGCCCUCAGCCUAGGUCCCGAAACGUCUCCCAACGACGUCAUCUCCAAAGAGGAUUUCCAAGAAUGUGUAAUAUAGCUCGAGCCACUACGUGCCCAAUACUCUGAUGUCUUGUCUUCCCCGUGAAGUCGUGCCUACAAAAUGCCAACAGUCAUGCAUUACAAGCAUUCAUACAUGCAUAAUCAUGCAUAUUACGUACCCAUGCAUUUAAUGAAAUUGUUAUAUCAUCCAUGCAUAUUGCAUUUCCAAUGUCAACAUCAGUCUCAAUUCAACACUCAUGUCAGGUUCUCUGUCAAAACCUUGUGAGCCAAUAAUAUCGGUCAAUUUCUACCUUUCAAUUCAAAUCGACGUCAAGUCAAUCUCAAUCUAUAUUUUGUCAACAAACCAAUCCCCAGUGAAUAUGUUUUUGUUCGGUCAAGUUACUAGUUCGCAUCCAAGAACGACUUGCACCCGUUUACUUUUCAAUGUUAUCGGUCGAGUGCCCAGCUCAAUCCAAGAGCAGCUUGUACCUGUCUAUUUGUUUCUGUCCGGUGGAGUAACCAGUUCGCAUCCAAGAACAAGCUCACACCUGUUUAUUUGCCUUGCUUUCGGUCGAGUAACCAGUUCGAAUCCUUAAGAACAACUCGUACCUGCCAAUUUUACAUGUUUUCAGUCGAGUCACCAGUUCGAAUCCGUAAGAACAACUCGUACUUGCCAAUUUUCUCUUUUUCCCAGUCGGGUCACCAGUUCGAAUCCAUAAGAACAACUCGCACUUUCCAGUAUCCCCAAGUGAGUUAUCAGUUCGAAUCCAUAAGAACAACUCAUAUUUGUCCAGUAACCUCUAUCCCCUGUGGAGUGACCAGUUCGAAUCCAUAAGAACAACUCGCAGUUGUCUGUUUGUUUCAUUCCCGGUCAGGUGCCCAGCUCGAUCCAAGAGCAGCUUGUACCUGUCCAACUUGUUUCUAGUUUCCCGUUACUCUGCUAUUCACUAUCUUUGUCAAUGUCUACCAAUCCCGCAAUGGAUACGACAUAUUUUGUUAAUUCCAAUCCCCAUGAGGUCUUGCAUUCAUAAUCCAAACGAUGCAUGGCAUGCAUAUUAUUUGAAAAUGGGUAGGCGUAUUUUUACGUCCAAACACAGUGCAAAUGCUAAUAUUUAAGUAUCUUCGUCCUGUCAAGCCAAAGACUCCGUCUCUUGACUCUCCAGACAAAGAAACUUAAAUAGGGGCAGCUGUUAUACCCUGUUUUUGGACCUAAAAAUACUGGGCCCAAUUUCAUUUCAAACUUUGUCAAUUAUCAAAUUUCAACUGCACAGUUCAAAUUGUCUCUGCCUCGCAGUAUUUUUCAAUCACAAUUUUACCUAUGUUUUUCUUGCAUAAAACCUUUCGAAAUGUCUUUACUUGUCUUGUAAGUCAUUCAAAAGUGUCUCUGAAUCAUUACAUUGCUUUUUCCACAGUUUAUUUCAAAAUUUGCAAAGAAGUCAUACAGAAGGGUAUUUUGGUCAUUUCCCGCAGUGGGACCCAUUUUCAUCCUUGUGACUGUCUCUGAGUCUUUUCAAAUUCAUUUUUAACUUUCCAUCAGUAAACCUUGCUAAUUUCGUUUCAAACUUGCAUCUGAGUCAGUGUCGAGUUAAUUUGAUUCUGUUUAGGUCAUUUUUAGCCCUAGGGGCAUUUUGGUCAUUUCACAUAAAAUUUUGGCAUGGGGAGGUUACUUUGAAGUACCUCAUUUAGGCCAUUGGUUCGUUUUAGUCCGUUUUGUCAAUUUUAUUUUUUUGUUUCGCUUUACGUUUUGUCAGGUUACCAAUUUUAUUUCAAUUUUAUUUUAUUUUGCAUUUUGGUCCUCAAAGAGGUCCAAAAUUGCAUUUCAGUCCAGAAUUCUUUCUAUUUGCAUUUUUAGUCCUUUUUGUUAUUUCCAUUUUAGUCCUUUAAUUUUUCAAUUUUGCAGAAAAGGGCUCAAAGUGUCAAGCUCACGUUUUUUUUCAGUUAAAGUCCAGAUGUCACAAUUCUAUUGGUCCAAGAUCACACAUGUCAGCUAUAAAAGGUGUACAGUGCCACACAGACCCAUUAAUCACACGCCAACUCAUAAACACAAAAUCAAUUUUCUCUUUCUCAGCAAUUAGAUCAAAAACAGAAAAUCUCUCAGAAUUUCUCAAGAACACCAGGAACAAAAACCCUAACCGUUUUCCAGAAACCCUAAUUUUCAUCAGAAUCAACAUUUUUUGCAUCAAUCCUCAGAGAUUCGUGUGAAUCUUCAUCACCGGACUGAAGAUUUUCCUGCAAUUCCAAGUGCGAGCUCGCAUUGAAGCAAGCUCAAGCACUGAUCACAGGAUCUCCUCGCGUGGAUCUAAGAAACAUUGAAGCAAGCUCAAGCACGUAAUCACAGAGAAGCAGAGAAAGAGUCAGAGAAGAUGAAGAAUCUGGACCGGUGAAGCAAACAGAAUCAAAAAUCAUCAAGAACAGAAUCAAGAUUUCCAAAGAUUUCCUCCAUUAAAGGUUUCAACCAAAACCUUAGGUAAAACUCAUAAUCUUUUCUCAGAAAAUAAUAUCACUGUUAAACCUAAAAAUCACGCAAGCAAAACAGAUCCAAAAUUUCCAGAAUUCAAAGCCAAAACCGUAACCGUGAACACAAAACCUAGAUCCAUAAGGAUCUAAGUUUUGAAAGCAAAAACAAACAUCAAAGAGGUGUUAAACAACGAAAUGAUGUAGAUCUUCAAGGAUCUAAACGUUUUCUUUCAAAAAAUCAAAAUCAAAUUCAAAGCCGUACGACAAAUUUCCAGAUCUACAUCGUUUCGAAUUGAAUUUGAAAAAACAAUUGCUGGAUUCGUGUUUAGGGUUAAAGGACGAAUUGAUUGAUGAAGAAAUUUUGAAAUUCUGGAAAUUUUAGGUCACCGGAGUUCUUGAACUCGCCGGAGAAGAUGAAGUUUCCGGCGGACCUUCAAGGUCUCCGCCGUAGCUUCAUCCUCGCCGGCGGCGAGGUUAGUGAGAGGUGAGAGAAGAGAGAGGAACUUAGAGAGAGAAAGGGGAGUGAAAAGUGAAGAAAACCGGAACCUCUUCCCUUAUAUAAGCUAGUGAACCAGACCGGUUCAAGACCGGUCCAAUCCUGUUGAUUCCAGGCCGUUUGAUCUAGGGUUUCAGGAUCCUGGAUCAAUCCUGUGGCUCCUGUGAAUCCGGUUCUUUAGGGUUUUGGGUUGGGCCUUUGGUUUCUUUGGAUCUUUACGUUUUGCUAUUUCUGUGCUAUUCACACCCCUAUUUUUUGCUGCCUGCACCUAUGUCUUGAUUAAAAUUGUGAUAAAAUUCCUAGAAAAAUUCAUACAUGUUUCUUGAUAUUUUCUUAGUGUUUUUAUGACAUUUUUGCACAUUAAGGAUCUAUGAAAAUUUUGUAUAAUCAAUUCAUAGCAUUUUAAUUCUCUUUGAAUUAUUUGUUAUGGAUUCUUCUUCACACAUUUGUCCUUGAUGUGAGAAUAUGUAAUAAAAGCUACUUGAUGUGUUAAUAUGAGAGAUUUGUGCCUAUAAUUUCAUGUUGAUUUGCUGUUUUGAUUUGGUUUAUGAGUUCUUGUUUUUAUGAACAAUAUAUCCAUAUUUUGAAAGAUAUAAAAUGCCAAGUUUACUCUAGAAAAUAUGGCAUGAAAUCAUGCUUGCAUGUUUCCAAUAAUUCCAUGCUAUAACUUGAGAUAAAGAAAACUCUUUCAAAAUUUGUUAAAGCAUGAGAAUUAGAGGCCAAGAAUGCUUUAGGUUUCAUACCUAAGUUUUUAGGGUUUAAUGUCAUUUUGUUAACUUUUUGUGCCAUCUUGCAUGCUUUUAUUUCUUAGUACUUGUUAUGUUUUUUCUUUUCACUAACAAGUUUAUUUCCAUGUUUCAUGCAUCCUGUUAUCAUGGUUUUUGGGUGCCAAGCCAUUAAUUGGACUUGUACCUUUCGACCGUUGAUAUCUCUAUUUUUUCUUGGGAAGGGCAAAAUUGAGAAAAAACCCUUAGAUUCUAAGUUCGGGGGUCGGUUUUACUACGGGAAGGUGUUAGGCACCCGGAGUAACUAUAGUCCUCUAUAGGAGCCGUUUUCCUAAGUCUAUAUUCACGCUUAUUUUUACUUACUUUUGAAGAUGGGAGGUUUAUUUAGUUAAGAAUGAGGGGAGAGAAGUUGUAAGACUUUUUAAUUUUAUUUCGGCUUGGAUGAGUUUUGACUCAUUGCCUACGUACCGUUUUACGGGAUCAAAACCGGCGUAGUUCUUGCUAAAAAAAAGACUUGUUUUUCUUUUGUUUUAAUUGUUUGAUUUUAAGUUUUAAAAAAAGGUUUUGAAGAAGGAGAUUGGGAGGCUUCAUGAGCAUUAGAUUUAGCAAAAAAGGUGAGGUUUGAUUAGUGAUUUAGAAAGAAAGUCUAAAUGAUUAAGAUGAAUUGAAUUUUUCUUAAGAAAAAAGAGAAAGGAAAAAAAAAAUGAAGUGUUGACUUCAUACUUAUUAUGAAAAUUUUUGAAGUGAAGUUCAAUUGCUUUUUUUGAAAAAAAGAUGGAUUUUCCCUAAGUGUUCAAACCUAAGCGCUUAUCUAACCAUACAAUCCUAUGCAUACAUCUAAGGUGAGUGUGUGCGUGUCGGUGCGUCAUAGUGUCCAUAGUCCAUAUUACAAAAAUUGCCUAAAUACAUUCUAUGGCCCCUUUGCCAAGCUACAAACCAAUGAUAACAAAUUACAUUACCAAAUGAAUUAAAACUUGCAAAAAAAACAAAUGCUAGGCUAAAAAGUGGAGGGAAUGCUGAGUUUUUAUGGAGAUUCUGUUAGGUUUCUUCGGAAACACUUGGAUUUGGCUUUUGCUUGUUGAUUUCUGGCUUUGAACCGAAAAUAAAUCGGUGAUUCUUCUUUUCUCACUGAUUCCGUUUCUUCAUCUUCUUCGCCGGCUUAAAACCUUGCUUCUUUCCCUUUUCUUCUCCUUUUUCAACGCCUCUGUGAUCGGUGUUGGAGUUCUUCGCCACUGGGGAAGAAUUCUCACCUUGAAUUGCAGAGGGAUCAACUCAGUGAUGAAGAUUCGCCAUUGAAUCUCUGAGAGUUUGAUGCAAAAAUCAAUGAAUUUGUGUAUGAAUUUUGGUUCUGGAAAUUUCUAGGGUUCUUGUGUUCUUGAUGAACUUGAUGAUUUUUCUGUUUCUGAUCUAACUGAAUGGAGAGAGAAAGUCUCAUUGUGUUUGUUGAGUUGGCGUGUGAUUAAUGGCUUUGAAUCUGACUCACUGUUUAUAUAGUUGACAUGUGUACACUUGAGCCAAUGAAAUUGUGACACGUACCCUGGACUUGCUCACUUGGGCGCUGCUUGCUAUUUUAAGGACCAAUCUGCAAAUUGUGAAAAUGACAAGGACUGGACUGCAAAAUUAAAAAAAACUUGAAAUGAAAUAAAUAAUAAAAAAACAGUUUGGACAAAAAUGCAAUUUUGGGACCUCAAUUGAGGGACCAAAAUGCAAUACAAAAUAAAAUUUGAAUAAAAAACGUAAUUUGACCAAACGUAAAGUGAAACAAAAAUAAAAUUGACAAAACGGACUAAAACGAACCAAUGGCCUAAAUGAGGUACUUCAAAGUAACCUCCCCAUGCCAAAAUUUCAUGUGAAAUGACCAAAAUGCCCCUAGGGCUAAAAAUGACCUAAACUGACUCAAACAGACUUGACACUGACUCAGAUGCAAGUUUGAAAUGAAUUUAAACAGGGUUUACUGACGAAAUGUCAAAAAAUGAAUUUGAAAAGACUCGGAGAUAGUCACAAGGAUGAAGAUGGGUCCCACUGCAGGAAAUGACCAAAAUACCCUUCUGUAUGACCUUUUGCAAAUUUUGAAAUAAACUGUAGAAAAAGCAAUGUAAUGAUUCAGAGGCACUUUUGAAUGACUUACAAGACAAGUAAAGACAUUUUGAAAGGUUUUAUGCAAGAAAAACAUAGGUAAAAUUGUGAUUGAAAAUACUGCGAAGCAGAGACAAUUUGAACUGUGCAGUUGAAAUUUGAUAAUUGACAAAGUUUGAAAUGAAAUUGGGCCCAGUAUUUUUAGGUCCAAAAACAGGGUAUAACAGCUGCCCCUAUUUAAGUUUCUUUGUCUGGAGAGUCAAGAGACGGAGUCUUUGGCUUGACAGGACGAAGAUACUUAAAUAUUAGCAUUUGCACUGUGUUUGGACGUAAAAAUACGCCUACCUAUUUUCAAAUAAUAUGCAUGCCAUGCGUCAUUUGGACUAUGAAUGCAAGACCUCAGGGGGAUUGGAAUUAACAAAAUAUGUCGUAUCCAUUGCGGGAUUGGUAGACAUUGACAAAGAUAGUGAAUAGCAGAGUAACGGGAAACUAGAAACAAGUUGGACAGGUACAAGCUGUUCUUGGAUUCAAACUAGCCACUUGACCGGGGAUGAAACAAACAGACAACUGCGAGUUGUUCUUAUGGAUUCGAACUGGUCACUUCACAGGGGAUAGAGGUUACUGGACAAACAUGAGUUGUUCUUAUGAAUUCGAACUGAUAACUCACUUGGGGAUGUUGGAAAGUGCGAGUUGUUCUUAUGGAUUCGAACUGGUGACCCGACUGGGGAAAUUGACAAGUACGAGUUGUUCUUAUGGAUUCGAACUGGUCACUCGACCGAAAGCAAAGGCAAAUAAACAGGUGUGAGCUUGUUCUUGGAUGCGAACUGGUUACUCCACCGGACAGAAAUAGAUAGACAGGUACAAGCUGCUCUUGGAUUGAGCUAGCCACUUGACCAAACGGAAACAUAUUGACAGGUACGAGCUGCUCUUGGAUUGAGCUGGACACUCGACCGAUAACAUAAGCAAAUUGAUAGGUACAAGCUGUUCUUGGACUUGAACUAGCCACUUGACCAAACAGAAACAUAUUCACUGGGGAUUGAGUUUUGUUUGACGAAAUAUAGAUUGAGAUUGACUUGGCGUCGAUUUGGUUUGAAAGGUAGAAAUUGAUUGAUAUUAUUGGAUCACAAGGCUUUGACAGAGAACCUGACAUGAGUAUUGAAUUGAGACUGAUGUUGACAUUGGAAAUGCAAUAUGCAUGGAUGAUAUAACAGUUCCAUUAAAUGCAUGGGCACGUAAUAUGCAUGAUUAUGCAUGUAUGAAUGCUUGUAAUGCAUGACUGUUGGCAUUUUGUAGGCACGACUUCACGGGGAAGACAAGACAUCAGAGUAUUGGGCACGUAGUGGCUCGUGCUAUAUUACACAUUCUUGGAAAUCCUCUUUGGAGAUGACGUCGUUGGGAGACGUAUCGGAACCAUGGCUGAGGGCAGGUAGCUAUGCAACUUGCUGGGGAUAGAAUCUCGAGAGACUUUACUGGGGAUAAUGCCGUUGUGCUGGGCAUGUUGUGGACAUCGCAUCUGUGGUCAAUGCUUUUUGCAUGCUAUUUUCUCAUUCUCAUUUUUCGCAUCCCAUUUUUGCCUGGAUCGCCCUUUCGGGUUUUCGAUCCACCGGGGAAAUAGAUUCUUUUCAAUGCCCCAUUUUUGCCUGAACUGCCCUUUCGGGUUGUCAAUCCAGCGGGGUGCUCAUUUUUGCCUAAGCCGCCCUUCCGGGUUUUCAACUUAGCGAGCCUUUUCAUUUUCAUGCAUUUUCAUUCUGUUUUUUCAUUCUUGCCAUUGACCACAGAUUAUCUUGGAGGAGAACCUGCUUGUAACAUAUAUUGAAAUAGACAUUAACAUACUCUCGCUCAUGCAUGUUUCAUUUGAACGUACCCUGUUGCUCAGGUUUGCUUUUCAAAACAGACAAAAAGUUUUCAAUUUUCAAAAUGUUUGUUUCAAGCAUUGUCAUUAUCAAAAUAGAAAGAAAAUGUUUUGUAUAUAGCUUUGAAAGUAAAAAGAAAAAUAGAGUUUCAAACAACAGCACAAGCUCAAUUUGAUGUAUAAGAGUGGUGGUCAGCCGAAGGCAUGACUCCACGGAUUCACAAAGCUUGGAAAAUGGUAAUUUUUAUUGGUUGGUGGUACAUUGAACACGGUAACCACUACAGUUCUUAGAAACUUUGAAUUCACAAGUACAGAAGCUUUUGAUGAAGAUAGGCAUUAACAGCUGCAGAUGCCCCAAGGGGGACGGUGGUUGGCCAGAUAUAGUUACUUGCCUUUUGUUUCAAUCUCAUUUUUGCAUGAACCGCCCUUCCGGGUUUUCGGCUCAUCGAGACGCUCAUUCUUGCCUGAGUUGCGUACAAUCUCAGCGAGCUUUUCAUAUUUGUUUUUUUUUUUUUUUUUUUUUGUCCCUUAUUUUUGCCUGGACCGCCCUUUCGGGUUUUCGAUCCAUCGGGAAGCGCAUUUUUGCCUAGGCCGCCCUUUCGGGUUUUCGACCUACCACGCUGUUCUUUUCACAUUUCUAGGCAAAGUAUUUCUUGACUAUAUCGGCAUUCACUGGAUUUGGAAGCUCUACACCAUCCAUGUGUGUAAGGAUUAAAGCACCACCGGAGAAGGCCUUCUUGACAACAUAAGGACCUUCAUAGUUAGGCGUCCACUUGCCCCUUGGGUCGGGUUGCUGGCUUAUCCUCCUUUUCAAUACAAGUUCCCCUACCUUGAAUUCUCGAGGAUGGACUUUCUUGUCAAAAGCAGUCUUCAUUCUUGCUUGAUAUGACUGUCCACGAGCCAUGGCAUCCAUACGUUUUCCCUCAAUCAAAUUCAACUGAUCAUACCGGCUUUGGCACCAUUCAGCCUCAGAUAACUUUGCUUCCAUUAUCACACGGAGAGAUGGGAUCUCCACUUCCAAAGGAAGAACUGCUUCCAUACCAUAUACAAGAGAGAAAGGGGUUGCCCCGGUUGAACUGCGCACGGUAGUGCGGUAGCCAUGCAGAGCAUAGGGUAACAUCUCAUGCCAGUCCUUGUAAGUGGUUACCAUCUUCUGGACAAUUCUCUUGAUAUUCUUAUUGGCGGCCUCAACUGCACCAUUCAUCUGAGGUCUAUAGGGAGAAGAGUUAUGAUGCUCAAUUUUGAAUUCUUCACAAAGAACUUGCACCACAUUAUUGUUCAGGUUGGUACCAUUGUCGGUAAUAAUCUUGCUGGGAACACCAUAUCGACAGAUGAUGUUGUUCUUGAUGAACUUAGCUACCACUUGCUUGGUCACAUUGGUAUAAGAUGCUGCUUCAACCCAUUUGGUAAAGUAGUCAAUUGCCACUAAGAUGAAACGAUGACCAUUUGAAGCCUUCGGUUCAAUUCUUCCAAUCAUGUCGAUGCCCCACAUCGAGAACGGCCAUGGGGAUGACAUAACAUUGAGAGCGUGCGGAGGCACAUGAAUCUUAUCAGCAUAGAUUUGACAUUUGUGGCAUUUUCUGGCGUACUGGUAGCAAUCAUGCUCCAUAGUCAUCCAGUAGUAACCUGCCCGUAGCAACUUUCUUGACAUAGUAUGCCCUGUAGCAUGGGUCCCGAAGGUACCGUCAUGUACAUCAUGCAUUAACUGCUCUGCCUCAUGUUCAUCAACACAUCUUAACAAUACCAUGUCAUAGUUUCUCUUGUACAGAAUAUCUCCAUCUAACAGGAAUCUACUGGCCAAUCUUCUCAAGGUCUUCUUGUCUUGUUUGGAAGCACCCGGCGGAUACUCACGGCUCAGCAAGAACCGUUUGAUGUCGUAGUACCAGGGUUUAUAGUCAACCACAUUUUCGCCAGCCUGAUCGAUCACAUCCCCAAUAGCAAACACAUGGGAAGGUCUUUCAAGGCGUUGCACUUUGAUUACUGGCACAUCAUUCCAAUGGUUUACUCGGAACAUGGAAGAUAGAGUAGCAAGAGCAUCCGCCAUUUGGUUCUCAUCACGAGGAAUAUGAUGCAGCUCAACCUUUGUAAAAUAUGUCAGAAGACGUCUCGCAUAAUCACGAUAAGGAAUCAACUUAGCAUGGUGGGUCUCCCAUUCACCCUUUAUCUGAUUGAUGACGAGCGCAGAAUCUCCAUAGAUGUCGAGGUGUUUGAUUCUCAUGUCAAUUGCUUCCUCGAUCCCGAAGAUACAUGCUUCAUACUCAGCCAUGUUGUUGGUACAUUCGAACAGAAUUCGGGCGGUAAAGGGAAUGUGAUGCCCUUGCGGGGAUACAAUGACUGCCCCAAUUCCUUUGCCAUAAGCAUUGACAGCACCAUCAAAGACUAAACCCCACUUGCUAUUGGGAUCUGGACCUUCAUUAAUCAACGGUUCGUCGCAGUCUUUGGAUUUCAAAUACAUGAUCUCUUCAUCAGGGAAAUCGAAUUCAAUUGGUUGGUAAUCAUCAAGAGGUUGAUAAGCAAGGUGAUUGGCAAGAAUGCUGCCUUUGAUUGCCUUUUGAGUUUUGAACACAAUAUCAUAUUCAGACAAAAGCAUCUGCCAGCGUGCGAUCUUCCCAGUAACGGCCGCUUUCUCAAAGAUAUACUUUAUCGGAUCCAUUCUGGAUAUCAACCAAGUUGUAUGAUUCACCAAAUAAUGGCGCAGGCGUUUGGCAGCCCAAGCUAAAGCACAACAAGUCUUUUCAAGCAUUGUAUAUCGAGUUUCACAAUCGGUGAACUUCUUACUUAGAUAGUAGAUAGCAUGCUCUUUCUUUCCGGUUUCAUCUUGUUGACCAAGUACACAUCCCAUGGAUUCAUCAAAUACUGCCAAAUACAUAAUCAAAGGCCUUCCUUCCACGGGUGGGACAAGGAUAGGUGGUUCCAGCAGGUAAUUCUUGAUGCUAUCAAAAGCUUCUUGGCAUUCAUCAUUCCAUACAACAGGCUGGUUCUUUCUAAGUAGCUUGAAAAUCGGCCCGCAGGUUGCAGUCAUGUGAGAUAUGAAUCGGGAGAUGUAAUUCAAACGUCCCAAGAAACCUCUGACUUGCUUCUCUGUCUGUGGAGCUGGCAUUUCUCGGAUGGCCCGGACUUUAUCAGGAUCGACUUCAAUGCCCUUUUGGCUGACAAUGAAGCCUAAUAACUUUCCGGACCUGACACUGAAUGUACAUUUGUUGGGAUUCAAUCGCAGCUUGUAUUUUCUCAACCUUUCAAACAUCUUUGUUAAAUAUUCAACAUGCUGCUCCUCAUCUGCUGACUUCACAAUCAUGUCAUCCACAUAUACCUCAACUUCUUUGUGAAUCAUGUCAUGAAACAGAGUGGUCAUUCCCCUUUGGUAGGUAGCACCGGCAUUGAUUAGGCCGAACGGCAUCACUUUGUAACAGAAAGUACCCCAUGGAGUGAUAAAAGAUGUCUUUUCUCUAUCUUCAGGGGACAUUUUGAUCUGAUUGUAACCGGAGAAACCGUCCAUGAAGGAGAACACCUUAGAUUGAGCAGUAUUAUCAACAAUCACAUCAAUAUGAGGUAAUGGAAAGUUGUCUUUUGGACUGGCUUUGUUCAAGUCCCUGAAGUCAACACACAUCCGGACUUUACCAUCCUUCUUUGGCACAGGCACAAUAUUGGCAACCCAUUCGGGAUACUCAACUGUCAUGAGGAAACCCGCAUCGAUCUGCUUUUGAACUUCAUUCUUGAUCUUGAGGGCCAUGUCAGGAUGAGUCCUCCUCAAUUUCUGCCUGACGGGAGGACAUUCAGGCUUGGUAGGGAUCCGAUGCUCCACGAUCAUAGGGUCUAGACCUGGCAUAUCUUCAUAGGACCAUGCAAAAAUAUCCGGAUAUUCCCGGAGGAGUUGGAUGAUCUUCUGUUUAACCCCUUCCUCUAGAGUAGCACCAAUCUUGAUUUCUCGCUUGUUUUCCUCGGUACCUAUGUUGAUAAGCUCAAUCUCUUCUUGGUGAGGCUGAAUGGCUUUCUUUUCUUGCUCAAGUAACCGAGUGAUCUCAUACGGUAUGUCAUCACCUUCCUCAUCUUCGGCUUCAUAUACAGGGAAAUCAAAACUUGGAGGAACCGUAGGAUUACUGUGUUCAACGGGUUUAUUAUGGUUCAACCUGCAUAUAAUGAUUGGAUGAUUUUAGAAAGAGCUUUUUUUUUUCAUGCAGAUUUUUGAAACUAAUAAGAAAAUACAGACGUUUUGGUUUUUUCUGGCAUUACCAUUGUUUCCAAGGGAAAAAGCACUAAAAGAAAAGUAGUCGUGGAAGAAACGACAAAAUUUUAUUAACCAACGGCAAUGCCGAAACAAACAUGCCCUUACAGAAAAUAUCACUCUCGCUUUGGGCAGAGCGAGAGGAUUGUUAUUUUGAAAACAAAGCACUAAAGCAACAAGACACAUUACUCAGAAACAUGCAUGAUUGAAGGAAUGUCAAUGGCAUCCCAAUUCGUCGCAAUGCCUCCUGGUGUAACAAAUACAGGCCUGAGACCAGAUCCAGUGGCUUCUUCAGAGAUAACAUUAACAAACCCUGCACUGUGGAAGACUCCUGAGGAAACCCUUGACGAUGGAGAGAACCCGAGACCUUCUUUACGCUUGUUCUCACAGAGCUGUAUCACCUUGCCCCAGCCGGCAGUCUGACCUUCUUGGAUGGCUCUCUGAGCAUCUUUCAAUGAAGCCAUAGCAGCCCCAGCUUCCUUAGACUCUGCACCUUCGAUGGUCAAACCUUGGAAAGCAGUCCCUUCAGCAGACCCUGCUUCAACACAAGAAAAAGAAGACAACUGGCUGACUAAGUAUGCUUCUUCACCAUGGAUUGUAACGAGUUUUCCAUUCUUCACAAAUUUCAACUUCUGAUGUAAGGUGGAAGUAACCGCACCUGCAUCGUGUAUCCACGGUCUUCCCAGCAGGCAACUGUAGGAUGCAUUAAUGUCCAUCACUUGGAAGGUAACCAAGAAAUUCUCAGGGCCAAUAGUUAUCGGCAAGUCUAUCUCCCCCAGCACAUUCUUUCGAGAUCCGUCAAAAGCUUUGACCAAGAAAGUACUUCUCCUCAACGGGGUCCCACGGUAGCUCAACUGAUCUAGAGUUGUCUUGGGCAUUACAUUGAGAGAGGAACCGGUAUCUACCAACACAUUUGAUAUCAUGUCUGAUUUACAAUUCACCGAGAUGUGCAAAGCCAGAUUGUGACUCCUUCCCACUUCCGGCAACUCUUCUUCACUAAACCAGAGGUUGUUACAAGCAGUAAUAUUUCCCACUAUACCACCGAAACGAUCUACCGAGACUUCGUGGUCAACAUAUGCCUGCUCCAGCACUUUCAACAAGGUGUUCCUGUGAGCCUCAGAGCUCAAGAGUAGCGACAAGACAGAUAUCUUCGAAGGAGUUUGCAGCAAUUGAUCAACGAUCUUGUAGUCGCUCCUCUUUAUUAUUCUCAGAAUCUCGUCUAAAUUUGAAUCCUCUAUAGAUUUGCCUGGCUGAUUCACAUCUGUAGCAAUGGGUGAAACAACGGUUGGAGUUGCUUCUUUAACUGGUGGAGUAAUUGGCGUAGCUACCUUCUUCUGAAAUAACGGCGGACGAACCUUCCCGCUUCUCAGCGCUGCAGAAGUCCCUUCGGCAAUAUUGCUUACUGUGGCAAAGGAGGCUAGAGGCACCUCUACUCCAUUUUCUAUCAUAGUGGCAUUGUACUUGUAUGGCACUGCCUUGUCCGAAGCAUAAGGAAUUGGUCCUGGCAACCUUAUUACCAAAGGCUCAGCAUUCUUCUUCAAAGGUACACUCUUGACAGGCGGAUCGUGAAAAACCGGCACAACCACGCAAACAUCACUGACAGUCAGAAGAUUAUCAUUCAUCAAGCUUUGGAUGUCGUCUUGAACAGUAUAGCAGCCCAAAGGAUCACAGAGGCAUCCUAGACACUUGGCAUGAUCAUGGCUGAACAGAGAAGCUUUGCACAGCUUGAUGUGCAGAGGCACCAGAGGAGUAGCAACAUUGCGGACAUCAAGUCUAGGAGCUUCCUCACACACUUCGAUCAUAUUCACAGCGGCAUGAUUUGGUAGUGGAUUGUCAAGGACAUGUGGAACAUUGUUCUCAAAAGUCAGCUUUCCCUGAUCAAUGAGCUUCUUCACGAUAUACUUCAAAGCAUAACACCCCUCGACAUCAUGACCUAAAGCACCUUGAUGAAAGUCACAUUUGAGAUCAGACCUGAACCUUGGAGGCAACGGAUCAGGUGGGGGCUUACCCUGUCUAGUUGUACAAUGUCCUCUCUGGAGUAGAGUUGGAAGCAACUCAGCAUACAACAUUGGUAUAGGAGGAAAAGUUGGCCUAGUAUACUGCUGCUGCUGCUGUUGUUGUUGUUGUUGAACCGGCAACUGUUGUUUCAUCUGUUGGGCAAUUGCAUUGACGGGCACUUGAGGCUGGCCCGGUGGCAAAGGGUACUGAUGAUAAAACGGUGGGAAGAACGGAUGCUGAGAAUACGGCAUAUAUGGGUAUGACGGAGGCAUUUGAGCUGCAUUGAUAGGAGCAACGGUAGCCAUAGAUUGACCGGCUGCAGCUGACACCAUUCCCACUUCCGUUUCUUUCUUCUUGUGGUGUCCAUUACCAUACCUCUUCGAUGCACUCGUAGAAGAUUCAGCUUUCUCAAACACAAUGAUCCCAUCUCUGACUGCUUCCUCAAGACGGGUUCCCAUGGUGACCAUCUCCGAAAAGUUGUUCGGGGCAGCAAUGAUCAUUCUCUCAACAUAAUCUUUCUUCAAGGUCUUUAAGAACGUCUGGGUCAUUUCUUCUUCAUCUAAAGCAGGAGUGAUACGGGCAGCUGCCCCUCUCCACCUUUGCGCAUAUUCACGGAAACUUUCCUCCUUUUUCUGAGAUAGGGACCUGAGAAACUCCCUAUUCGGCUUCAAACGAGUGUUAAACCCGUAGUGGCUCCUGAAAGCGGUGGCCAGCUCAUCAAAAGUAUGGACAUCGUCUUUGCUCAGACUAGUAUACCACUCCGCAGCAUCUUCCAUCAGACUGUCUUGGAAGUAAUGGAUCAUAAGGGAAUCAUUGUCCUUGUAGUUGCCCAUUUUCCGGACGUAUUUGACAAUAUGAUUUUGAGGACAAGUCAGCCCGUUAUACUUGUCGAACUCCGGGACUUUGAACUUUUUUGGAACAUCUACCUUCGAUACCAAGCAGAGGUCCUGGGUUUUAAUGGAGUCUCCAUUUCCCCUGUUGGCCUUAAUUUCCCGUCGGAGCUCUUUGGCAAGUUCUUCCAUUCUCUCUUCCAUAGUUCCGGUUGUGGUAAUACUCCCGUGGUGUGCGUUGGCAUGGACAAAUAGAGGCACCGCAUUCACAAUGGGCUCGGUAACAGUUGUUGCAGCUUGAGUCAAGGCGGUACUAAUAGGAGUUAAGUUUGCCCCUGGGAUUGGGCCACUGUUGGUAGUACCAGAGGUCCCUGCCCCUGUGUUAGCAGUAUAGUACAGCGGAAGUCCGUAAGGAUACCCGGAUGGCAUGAUAGAGCGGGGAUCAGUUGUUACAGUAGGAGUCACAUUUGCAGCUGUAGAAACUACAGGAACUGGUUGUUCCUGAGCAGCCAACAGAGCAGUCAUAGCAUCAUGAGCUUUGGCCAAUUCCUCCCUUAGAGAUGCCAAUUCGGUACGAAGCUGUGUGUUCUCUUCUUCCAUAGCCCUUUUCUUUCUUCUGUAUUCUCUGGUUCGAUCAAUUCUAUCAGGUUCGUAAACUCUCUGAGCACGAGCCACUUUUCACACUGCGGCAGAGAAACCAGGAGGUGGUAAGCACUUGGAAGCCUUUGUGACCAAUGCAUGAUGCAUAUGAUGCAUGAUGUGCAAAUGCAAAUGCAAAAGACUUAUUUUCUCAUCGAAGGAUUUUUAAACAAAUUAGAAAUCUUGCAAAUAAACAAAACUACAUAGUAUUCUCAACAGAAAGACUUUGAAAUAAACAUAUGAAGCCCUCAAGCAUAGGAAGCAGUCGGAAGAUCAUCGGACUCGGAAUCUGAAUCACAGUAUCUGGCAAAGAAGUCUCGUCGUCCUCUGGCUCUCUUGGAAUCCCUCAUAAGCAGCUCGUCUUUCUCUUCCAAUUCCCUCCGGGCCUUAGCUAGCUCUUUCUUCAACAUUAAAUUCUCAUGAGUCUUCUGCUCAUCUCUACCAUCCAAAGUCAUGAUUAGAUUCUCGGCUUGAUUAUACCGAGCUUUCCACACUUGCUUCUCACGACUCUCCAUAGCUAGAUGCUCCUGAUACAUAUCCUGAGUCGCGGGGAGUAGAGGUAGAGGCAUAGAUGGAGUAGACGAAGACACGUAUCUCAUAGCUGGAUAAGGCAUACCAAUCUCCUCAGCUCGAUCUAUCACCCACUGAGUAUAGGCCUCAUGAGCAACACCGGAUCUCACACCUAGAUGCUUCACACUCUUCCUUCGAACCUUGGACCAAGCAUCCAUGAAAGCUUUCCUUUGUCCGGUAGGAGCAUUCGCAUAGAAGAAGAACUCUGGAGAUGUAGCAAGAUUGAUGGGCUUCGACUUCAUAGGGAAACCAAACUGUCUCAUAGCAAGCUCGGGAUUGUAGUUAAUUCCUCCCCGAGUACCAAGAAGAGGUACAUUGAGAAAGUCUCCACAACCCAUAAUGAUUUCCUUCACUUGAGCGGCAGGAGUGAGCCAGACGACCUCAUUAGGAGUGAGGGCCAUAAUCCGCUGCGAGUAGGACCAGUUCUCCGAGUUAUCAUGGAAGGAACUCGGAAGGUGCGAAAUAAACCACCUAUACAAAAGAGAUGUGCAGCAAAGAAUAUACCCACGGCCCUUGAGAGUCCUGUCAUGAAUGGCGUGGUAAGUAUCCGCUAGCAAAGUAGGAACCGGGUUCUUGGAAUGAAAGAUCUCGAUAGCAUUCAUGUCCACGAAGUUGUCGAGGUUCGGAAAGAGAAUGAGCCCGUAGAUAAGCAAAGCAAGAAUAGCCUCAAGUGUAUCCUGACGAGUAGUACCGAGAUUAGCCUGAUCAAGAAGAUACUUCGAAGUAAACCCCCGGAUGUGAGACUUGGUAAUAAGAUGGUUGGAGACGUCGGAAGUCUUGAGGUAGAGAUCCUUAGCAAUAACCAGAGGAGUAAGAGGAGUCCCAGGACCGGUGAAAGGCGUCUUCUCGGCUAUAGGUAAACCCACUAGAUUGGAGUAAGCCUCAAGAGUAGGAACCAACUGGAAGUCCGGGAAAGUGAAGCAACGGAAGCUCGGAUCAUAAAAUUGCACCAGAGUGUGCACUAGCUUCUCGUCCACAUCGGUUCGGAGCAAAGUAAGCAAUCCCCCAUACCGGAGUCGGAACCCUGUUUGGCUCUUGACCUUGAGCGCCAACUCUCUCAAACUAACCAAAUCCACUUCCUUGAACUUGUAGCACUUAGUCUUCUUCAUACCUGUGAUUAUUUACAAAAAAUUUCCAUUUGUUUAAGUCCUUCGAUGAAUGCAUGAAAAAUGUUUAUGCAUGAAUGCAUGUAUGCAUGAUUGUGUUGUUUAGUUACAAUGUGGGUUGAGAUUCAAAGUAACAAGGCCACGGAUGGACACGGUGUCCGGUGAACUAAGGCUUUGGAUAGUAGUAACCAAGGUUCUAACACAGUUCCCAAACUGCAACCUCUCUCACAUAUAUCAUGGUAGUACAGGACGACACCCGUUCCAUGUUUAUUUGUGAGAAGGUCUAGCUUGAGUGUAGUAUCGCGUGACGACUAAAGUUUGAGACAACACUCAAUUUAGCCACCGCACUACGUCCUAAGAAGGCUAGGAUGGGUUUGGUAACUACGGUUCAUAGCUUCGUCGAACAAUUGAAAGUGAAGUGCCUAAGCAUGACAACACACGCCGACAAUACCACCUUCAAAAUGCCUCAGCUAUGUGAGAUUGAUCGCAUAAUCCAAUACACGAGGCAACCCCCGGAUCGAAUUGUCGAUUAUAUCUCUACCUAAACAUAAGUUCACUCAGCCCGGGUAUAGGACUUUUGAUAUUCUCACCCCACACGUCAAAUGAAAAUAAACAAGUAUUCACAUGUGUAGGCAAUAAAAUAAAGCAUAAAUAUACACUAAGGAAAACUAGGCGCGACCCGCUAAAAAGAAUUUCCCCAGUGAAGUCGCCAUUUCUGUUAUCAUGGUUUUUGGGUGCCAAGCCAUUAAUUGGACUUGUACCUUUCGACCGUUGAUAUCUCUAUUUUUUCUUGGGAAGGGCAAAAUUGAGAAAAAACCCUUAGAUUCUAAGUUCGGGGGUCGGUUUUACUACGGGAAGGUGUUAGGCACCCGGAGUAACUAUAGUCCUCUAUAGGAGCCGUUUUCCUAAGUCUAUAUUCACGCUUAUUUUUACUUACUUUUGAAGAUGGGAGGUUUAUUUAGUUAAGAAUGAGGGGAGAGAAGUUGUAAGACUUUUUAAUUUUAUUUCGGCUUGGAUGAGUUUUGACUCAUUGCCUACGUACCGUUUUACGGGAUCAAAACCGGCGUAGUUCUUGCUAAAAAAAAGACUUGUUUUUCUUUUGUUUUAAUUGUUUGAUUUUAAGUUUUAAAAAAAGGUUUUGAAGAAGGAGAUUGGGAGGCUUCAUGAGCAUUAGAUUUAGCAAAAAAGGUGAGGUUUGAUUAGUGAUUUAGAAAGAAAGUCUAAAUGAUUAAGAUGAAUUGAAUUUUUCUUAAGAAAAAAGAGAAAGGAAAAAAAAAAUGAAGUGUUGACUUCAUACUUAUUAUGAAAAUUUUUGAAGUGAAGUUCAAUUGCUUUUUUUGAAAAAAAGAUGGAUUUUCCCUAAGUGUUCAAACCUAAGCGCUUAUCUAACCAUACAAUCCUAUGCAUACAUCUAAGGUGAGUGUGUGCGUGUCGGUGCGUCAUAGUGUCCAUAGUCCAUAUUACAAAAAUUGCCUAAAUACAUUCUAUGGCCCCUUUGCCAAGCUACAAACCAAUGAUAACAAAUUACAUUACCAAAUGAAUUAAAACUUGCAAAAAAAACAAAUGCUAGGCUAAAAAGUGGAGGGAAUGCUGAGUUUUUAUGGAGAUUCUGUUAGGUUUCUUCGGAAACACUUGGAUUUGGCUUUUGCUUGUUGAUUUCUGGCUUUGAACCGAAAAUAAAUCGGUGAUUCUUCUUUUCUCACUGAUUCCGUUUCUUCAUCUUCUUCGCCGGCUUAAAACCUUGCUUCUUUCCCUUUUCUUCUCCUUUUUCAACGCCUCUGUGAUCGGUGUUGGAGUUCUUCGCCACUGGGGAAGAAUUCUCACCUUGAAUUGCAGAGGGAUCAACUCAGUGAUGAAGAUUCGCCAUUGAAUCUCUGAGAGUUUGAUGCAAAAAUCAAUGAAUUUGUGUAUGAAUUUUGGUUCUGGAAAUUUCUAGGGUUCUUGUGUUCUUGAUGAACUUGAUGAUUUUUCUGUUUCUGAUCUAACUGAAUGGAGAGAGAAAGUCUCAUUGUGUUUGUUGAGUUGGCGUGUGAUUAAUGGCUUUGAAUCUGACUCACUGUUUAUAUAGUUGACAUGUGUACACUUGAGCCAAUGAAAUUGUGACACGUACCCUGGACUUGCUCACUUGGGCGCUGCUUGCUAUUUUAAGGACCAAUCUGCAAAUUGUGAAAAUGACAAGGACUGGACUGCAAAAUUAAAAAAAACUUGAAAUGAAAUAAAUAAUAAAAAAACAGUUUGGACAAAAAUGCAAUUUUGGGACCUCAAUUGAGGGACCAAAAUGCAAUACAAAAUAAAAUUUGAAUAAAAAACGUAAUUUGACCAAACGUAAAGUGAAACAAAAAUAAAAUUGACAAAACGGACUAAAACGAACCAAUGGCCUAAAUGAGGUACUUCAAAGUAACCUCCCCAUGCCAAAAUUUCAUGUGAAAUGACCAAAAUGCCCCUAGGGCUAAAAAUGACCUAAACUGACUCAAACAGACUUGACACUGACUUAGAUGCAAGUUUGAAAUGAAUUUAAACAGGGUUUACUGACGAAAUGUCAAAAAAUGAAUUUGAAAAGACUCGGAGAUAGUCACAAGGAUAAAGAUGGGUCCCACUGCAGGAAAUGACCAAAAUACCCUUCUGUAUGACCUUUUGCAAAUUUUGAAAUAAACUGUAGAAAAAGCAAUGUAAUGAUUCAGAGGCACUUUUGAAUGACUUACAAGACAAGUAAAGACAUUUUGAAAGGUUUUAUGCAAGAAAAACAUAGGUAAAAUUGUGAUUGAAAAUACUGCGAAGCAGAGACAAUUUGAACUGUGCAGUUGAAAUUUGAUAAUUGACAAAGUUUAAAAUGAAAUUGGGCCCAGUAUUUUUAGGUCCAAAAACAGGGUAUAACACAUCCCAUUUAGCAUUCCCUCCACUUUCUUUAGCCUAGCCUUUAUCUUUUGCAAGUUUUAAUUCAUUUGGUAAUGUAAUUUGUUAUCAUUGGUUUGUAGCUUGGCAAAGGGGCCAUAGAAUGUAUUUAGGCAAUUUUUGUAAUAUGGACUAUGGACACUAUGAUGCACCGACACGCACACACUCACCUUAGAUGUAUGCAUAGGAUUGUAUGGUUAAAUAAGCGUUUAGGUUUUAAACACUUAGAGAAAAUCCAUCUUUUUUUCAAAAAAAAAUAAUUGAACUUCACUUCAAAAACUUUCCUAAUAAGUAUGAAGUCAACACUUCAUUUUUUUCCUUUCUUUUUUUCUUAAGAAAAAUUCAAUUCAUCUUAAUCAUUUAGACUUUCUUUCUAAUCACUAAUCAAACCUCACUUUUUGCUAAAUCUAAUGCUCAUGAAGCCUCCCAAUCUCCUUCUUCAAAACCUUUUUUCUCAAAACUUAAAAUUAAACAAUUAGAACAAAAAACAAGUCUUUUUAGCAAGAACUACGCCGGUUUUGAUCCCGUAAAACGGUACGUAGGCAAUGAGUCAAAACUCAUCCAAGCCGAAAUAAAAUCCAAUUCUACUUCUUCUCACCCCCAUUCUUCACUAAUCAUACUUUCUUUUUUACAAAUAAGCAAUAAAACUAAAGCGUAGAAAUAAACUUAGGAAAGCGGUUCUUAUGGAGUACCAUAAUCGCUCCGGGUGCCUAACACCUUCCCGUAGCGAAAACGACCCCCGAACUUAGAAUCUAAGGGUUUUUCUCAAUUUUGCCCUUCCCAAGAAAAAAUAGAGAAUAUCAACGGUCAAAAGGUUCAAGUCCAAUUAAUGGCUUGGCACCCAAAAACCAUGAUAACAAUAAGAAACUGAAAUAGUGUAUUUUGUUUAUAACCCUCCGUCCCAUAAAAACCGAGCCAUUUGCAAAAAAAUAUUGUCUCAGAAAAAUUGACUCAUUUCACUUUUCAAUACAAUAUUAAUUACUUUUUUUUUCCUUUCAAUUAUAACACUAAUUAAUAUUACUUUCACCACUCCCAAUUUAAUAUAUUCUAAUUUGCAUUUAUGAUAAAGAAGAAUGCACCAAUAGUUACUCAAAACCAUUUUUCUCUCUCUUUUUACUUAUACAUAUUUUCUUAAUAAGUGUGAAAUGAGCUAAGAGCUGAGCUCGAGCUCAGUUAAAAUGGGACGGAGGAGGAAUGUAAUUCAAAGUAACUCAAUUUUAUGCUAUUUAUUUAUUUAUGCUGAAGCCUCAUUAUAAUAGUAUAUAGUGAUAUGUGUGAGAAGCAUAGGAAAAGUACAUAUGGUGAUGAAUGAUGGAACAAGCUUAAAGUCAUAAUUAUUAUUGUUCAAUCAUAAAUAGAUGGUCCCCCAAUUAGAAAAGUAUUUAUGAUCCCCCAUUUUAAAAUGACCCUCGUCCUUUUUUAGAAUUUUAAUCUUAAUAAUGGUGAUAUAUCAUAAUUAAAUGGAUGCAUUUAGGAAGUUUAUAAAUAAUUUUAUAGGUAUUGAUGAUUUUACAUUAUCGGAUCGUAUGACACAUCAUUUAAAAUAUGUCAUGUUAUAGUUUUUUAGUUUAAAAAUAUGAAGAAAAAGAUAUGUCACGUCAGUACUUUUGAGUCCAAAAAUAUAAAAAUAGGCCAAAACGAAUUAUUCUAAAAUUUGGGACAAAUUUCAUGAAAAUAAAGACCUAGAGUGUAGUUAAGACUUAUAACUAUUUUAAACAUUCCUUAAAAAAACUAAUCUAUAAAAUGACAUACGAUUAAUUAUAAAUAUGAUUGACAUAUACUCUAAAAAAGGAAAUGUUUGCAUAUGGUAUUUUAAACACCGUUCUCGUGAACUUAACUCAAUUGAUACGGACAAUGCUUAAUAUGUGCAAGGUCUAGGGUUUUAACCUUGAUCACAAAAAAAACACCAAUAUUUUUUUUCGGGGAUAUUAAACACCAAUAUUCUUUGGAUACUUCUACCCUAAUAUCCAUUACUAAAGUAUUUUAAAUUAUUUAUUUAAUUUUUGUGUGGCUUUUGAUGGUCUAAUCCUAAUUUGUAGAGCAACAUGCAAAUAAUUGGACUAUAAAAGUUACGUGCACAAUUUUUCAUCAAGAAUUUUUUGGCAGCACGCAUUGAAAAUUUGUGUCUCAUUAAGAAUUUGUUAGCACUACGCAUGCAUAUUCUUUUGGGCCUGUCAUCCUGUGUAUUUUCAUUUUCAACAGUAAUUUGUCGGCACUACUAAGCAUCUAUAUCUAUCUUUGUUUUGAAACAGCAAAACUUAUAAAAAAAUCCACUCUUUAGACAAAAACGAACAAAUACCGACAAUUCAAAAACUACAAAAUAAAACGUCAUAUGUAGGCAGAACACAAAAAAAACACCAUAACAUAUCUCACCUCACCAAACAAAAACCUACGUUCAACCGCCAUAAGAAAACAAUCACCAAACCCAACUUCAUCACUCAAACCAAACUCCAUCGCAAACGACCACUGAAAACAAAAUCCAUAAACAUCCAUCGUCCGCUACUCACCCCAAUACCUCCAAAAACCAUCUUAAACAUCAUCAUCUUCUCAUCACCAUAACCUAGCCCAAUUUAACACCCGAAAAGUCCUAUUCCAACUCUCCUUCGGGUUCUACCACCCCUCAUCCCCUGGUCCACCAAAGAAAACAUCAUAAAUAUCCCAAAAUAAACUUGACUCACCGUAUAUUUAUAUCUAUAUCUAUAUCUAUAUCUAUCUAUAUAUCAAUUAAUUCAGGCUCUCAAGUUAUAUCUAUUAAUUUAGGCUCUCAAGUUAACCUCUUCACAACUCACCAUGUUAUAUAUAUCAUAUAGUCUAAUUUUGGCCACAUCAAAUAAAUUCUAAUGUGACAUCUUCCAAAACACACCAUUCCUUAUUCUCUCGUUGCCUUGCUUCAUAAUUUAUGUAUUAUUACAUCUCAUUCCCUUACGAAUUCACAAUUAAAUGACGUUUACUACAUGUCAUAACUCUCAUGUAAUAACGUCAAAUAAGAUGCAUGACCUUAAAUGUCAAAUCAUUAUUAUUAUUAUUAUGAGAGAAGAAGUGAAUGAAUAAUAUUCUCAUUAUUGAUCAAAUGAUAGAGGUUACAACUUAUAUAGUCAUGGUCUAGGAAUACAGUAAUACAAUAGUGGUAACAUCGAAUAUAAAAACUAAGAUAGCUAACUCUACUUGAUAAUAACUCUCAUGUAAUGUCAAAUAAGGUGCAUAACCUUACAUGUCAAAUCAUUAUCAAAUUUAUUACGAAAUUAAUCAAGAACCAAACCUUGAUCCAACAUGGAACUCAAUCAACAAUCAACCCACUUAUUUUGUCGUUAACAUGUUUGUAUGUUUUUUUCUUUUGUUCUCUUUGUAUCAUUUGAUUAUUACUUUAUUGUUUAGAUUCUUUAGAUUGAAUGUGUUUUUUCCUUCAUCUCCUAUGCAAUUAAUAUAUGGACAUGUUUUAAUUCGGUAAUAACGGUGUGCUCAUCAAAUUGGCAAAAUGUUUCCACAUAAAAAAAAAUAAAAAAAUAAAAAAUGUAGCGGUUCAUGUCUAAUAUGAAUCCGGUUAAUAAAAUAAUAUUUUUUUCUCUCCAAUUUUUGCUAAACAUAGGACACCAUUGUUAUUUUUUGCAUGUUAUUUUUUAAGCGACACGUUUUAUAGAUUUUUUUUAGGGAACAUUGUAUGGAAUUUUAGGAAAUGGAUCUCGCCAACUUAAUUUUUUUGUCAGGUUGUCUAGUGGUUCGAGUUCACACAUAUUAGAGAUAUAUAGUUUAGUUACAAGUAGUACUAGUCCUGGUAGUAUAUAUAGUUGUAACCACCUCAUAAGUGGGAUACUUUUCACUCAUUAGUAAUAUUUCAUUUCUAUCAAUACAAAGAGUUUGUUAGAUUUUGCUCCUUCGAUCUAUGGAUGCCAUGUUUCCUAACAACACAUUUUAAAUGUGGUGAAAUAGAGUAUCCGAGUUUAAACCCUAACCCCUACAUAUAUUAUGCGAUGUCCUUAUCAAUUAAGCUAUGUUCACCGGAAUAUUUCUUUCUGUUUUCACAUCUCAACCAUCAUAUAACCUCUCUCUCAAAUUCCAAUAUCAAUGUCAUCUCCUCUUUAUAAUUUAAUGGUCUAGAUUCCCACACUAAUUCUUCAACUUCUUUUUUACCAUGUAUCAUUUUUGUCACAUCACUUAUUUUUCAACAUGCAAGACUUUAUUCCAUUUUGCAUAUCCUACACUCCAUGUUUGUAAUUGCAGACGAUCUAAUUUCUCAUAAAUGAUCUCAACCUAGGAUCAUGGAUAUGGUCAAUAUCAUGGAUACCGCUAGAAAAUUCAUUUGUAGACCACAAAUGAAUUUUCUAACGGUAACCACAAAUGGAUUUAUGGUUAUAUAUAUAUAUAUAUAUAUAUAUAUAUGCGCGCACGCUGGGGGCCAUGAGUGAGAUGAGAACUGAGGGAGAAGGAUCCACAUAUGCAAUGGUUGCUAGUGAAAAUCCUUCCUUAUCUUAGUUUCAAAGGAUUUAUUCCAUUGCAUCUAUAUAGAAAAAGAGAAAAACUAAAAAUGUGUAGUUCUGUUAUUGAUCAAACAAAUAGCUAACUAAAACUAUAUUAACUAUACCCUCUAGAUGCAGACAAAUAGAAUGCUCAUAUACAUAUUCCCACCAAUAUUCUUCACUUCAAAUGAAUAUAACUAAAUGUGUCGGGGUCGUUUAGGUUUCAAAUAUCAACAUGUGUCGGACACUAAACACACAUCAAUUUGAAGUGUCAAUGCUACACACUUUAAAACCUUUGACCUAAGCAAGCUUACCAUGUCUAUUUUACAUUAAAACUGUUUUCCAUGCUAGAGUAAAACAUUUACUUAUGAUUUGUAUUUAAUUAGUUAGUUAUUCCUAACAAAACUAUAAAUCUUGUAGAAUAGAGAAGGAUGUUAGUUUAAACCUGUACACACGGCAAAAUGAUUGUUUUGCCUUAAUUUAUCCUUCACAUGAGAAUGGAAUUCAAGAUACUGUGGAAAAAACCUAACUCACCCAACUGCAAUUAUUCAAAGCUAUAAAAUUCAACUAAUAAAGAUUUAAAUACAUGCCAUAUAACUAUCUAAUUCAAUCCAUUUAAUAUUAGCAAUAACCACUAUUUUAUUUUAAGAAUUCUUGCACAAGAUAUGUUCAAUUCCAUCAUCAUAAACUGAUUACUUAUUAGCAUCAUCUCUUAAAUUCAAUGUAAUACUAAAUUGCAUAAAAAAAAGUCACUUAGGUUUGAUUUUGUUUAAGCAAAACCUCCUUAAUCACUUUUUCCAAAUUCAUGUAUGAACAACCACCAGGUCUCGUGUCCUCCUCCGCCUUCGUCUUCAUCUCAAUUAUCUUUUUCCACAUCUUCUUUCCUUUCUCCCCCUCCAUCAAUUCAUUGACCAAAUUCUCUACCUCAUCUCUCUUCACAUUGGUGUCAAUUUCCAUGCCAAUCUCCCAUGUAUUGCAAAUAUAUCUGCAGUUUGCUGGCUGAUCAGCAAAAAAUGGCCAACACAACAUUGGAACUCCAGCAGAUAUGCUUUCAGUGGUUGAGUUCCAUCCACAAUGAGUCAAGAAUCCACCAAUUGAAGGAUGGUUUAAUACUUGCUCUUGCGGGCACCAGCCCGCGAUUAGGCCUCUAUCUGAAAUUUCAUUGACAAACUCCGAUGACAAAACAACUGAGCCACCGAUGACAAGAUCGGGCCUAAUGAUCCACAAAAAGGGUUGCUUGCUAUUUGCUAAACCCCAUGCAAACUCUAACAGUUUUUCUGCCGUCAUAACUGUCAUGCUCCCAAAAUUCACAUAAACAACGGACCUCGGUUCCUUGGAUUCAAGCCAACCAAGACACUUGUUAUCUUCUUUCCAAAGAUUGGUACUUAAACUUGCCAAGUGAUUAUGUGGACUUUGACUUAAAAGUGAAGAUAAAGGGCCGAUACCACAAAUAUUUGGGAACGUCGAGGAGAGAACAUUCAUUACAUCCUUCUCAAGUUCACUAGAAGUAUUAAAAAUAAAAGCAGACGCUUUGUGAGCCCUUCCUGCUGCUUCAACGAUAAAUUCUACCAUCGAAUCAUUUGUAUCUGUAAUCCUUAUAAAGUCAGGCAGAUCCUUCAGUCGAAAGUUCUGCAAUCCUGGAAUACAAUCCACUUUAGUGUCCAAAUAUCCGUUUGUCAGAUAACUCUCAUCUACAUGUCAAAUUUAUAAAAGUUGUUAGCUGGAAAUAAAAUCUCCAUACUCCUAAUACAUGUCAUUUGAUUUUGAACACUUUAACUAUUCUACAUAUAUGAAGAAAGCAAGAAGAUUAAUUGUUACCUUUUAGUGGUAUGAGACCUUUAUCCAACAAUGUACUAAAAUGAAUAAAAGUCAAAAAUGUACAUGCAUUGGAUGGACUAAAGAAAACAGAAGGGAUUGAAAGUUCUUCAGAAGCUUGUAUGGUAAAAGACAUGCCAAUAUCAGAAACUAUGCAAGUAACUGGAGGGACAAGACCAGAUGUUGCAGAGUCAUUUAGUCUAGCAAGAAGUUCGCGGAAAGGUUGUAGGAAGUUCUUUCUGAUUGAUUUACAAAGAGCGUAAAUGUCUUGACUAACAUCGCCAUCACCAUCCGUUGGAGUUAAACCAUCCGGAAUAGUCUCAAAGCUAAAAUCAGUGAAACCAUCAAAGGCAUUUGGACCUCUUGACUUGAGCAACCGUUUGUGGUUGUAUUCAGUGUUUACAUAGGUUAUGUGAAAUCCUCUAAGGUGAAGAAGUUUUGCUAGUUUCAACAAUGGAUUGAUAUGGCCUUGAACUGGAUAUGGAAUUAACACAGCAUGUGGUUUUUUAUCACUCAUUUUUGAGUUUUUGUGUUUGAAUGUUGAGCUAAGGGAAGCCAAUGGUUUAAUAAAGAUAAAGCCAAUGUUUCUUGGAUUUGUGUAAAAGAAGAUAAGAGACAAAAGUCAAGGAAAGCAAACUCAAAUUCUAAGUAAUAUGUAACACAAUAAUUGAUACAUACUUAUCAAGUCACCACUUUUUGUUAUAGAAGGAAAACAAUUUUUCAUUAAAAAGUUUAUUGAACAAACUUAAGCAUGCCUUUUGGUUUGCGGUGGCGAGAAUUGAUUUGAAUGAAUUUGUUUGAUAAAAUUAGUAUCAGGUUAAAAGUGCGUUGAAUAUAAAAUAAUUUGUGUUUAUAUAAAUUUACGUAAAAUUGAUUUGAACUAUAAAUUGAAGACUAAAAAUCGAUUAUAAAAACAAAAUUUUGAUAUCUUAACUUUAAAUUACGAGCAAUUUGGAGACAAAAUCAAUUCUAUUUAAUUUGAGAACACAUAACCAUAGGGUCUGACUAGGCUUAUCUAAGAUCCCUAAUGUAACCAACUUGCAUCUAAUCAUAACUAACUUAUAACUAUCUUGAAAAAUAUCAAACUAAUUUUAACAAAUCUGAAACUAUAUCUAACACAUACUUGCAUGGAAUUGCAACCAUUCAGUAGAAAGAUAUUAUCAAACAAAAUCUUCAUAUGCUUUAGUCAAAAAAAAGGAAAAUCUUCAUAUGCUUGUGGACCAACUGAUCCAUACGUUUCAGUUUCAAAAUUGAACUAGAUGACACUUUUAUUCAAGUAAGUGUAAGAUAGUUCUGACAUCAAAGAUUUUUGUUGUACAAAGAAAAUAAUCAUGACCACUUAUUUAUUUUAUAAUAGUCUAUUGGCUAUUAUUUUCCAUGCUUGAAUCAGUCAGACAUUGGACAUCACAAAAAAAAAUUGUCCUUUUCAACAAAGGCUCAAGAUUAUCUCCAAAGUCACAAUUGCAUAAAAGCCAAAUUUACUUUUAUUGUGCAGAGAAAAGUGGAUGUAUAUUAUCAACACUGCCUUCCAUAAGGGCUUCGUGUCCUCUAAUUUUUUUUUUUACUAGUCUUUGUUAUGUCCUUUAUCAUGUCUAUGAGGUAUCAACUCAAUGGUAAGAGUUUGAGCUUUUAACCUCAAGGGAAAAAGUACAAUUCCCCUUAAUAACAGUGGUAAAAAUGCUCAUUGUUGUAACUUUAAUUAAUAAACCCUUAUAUUGACUAAUAGGAAUGUUAAAAUAUUUCUUGAAAUCUCAUGUUGAAAGUUUGUUCUUCUUUUCGGUUUGAUUAGUGUUCCCAUGCACUAGGCGCAGUUGUUUGUUGUUUUCAGCUUGUUGUAAUUUGUAGCUUGCGCAAGGCGAAGGAUAUAGCUGACUGAGGCGCAGGUGUGCAUCAAGAUCUAUAGAUAAGCAGGUUUUGCAUCAGUUUUCAGGGUAAAAAAGUGGGAAUUCUAAGGUAACAAAAGAGGGAAUUUGUAGGGUUAAAAGUUCACAUAUAUAGAUAAGAAUUUGUAGGGGACAUUGAUGAUUUCACACAAUUUGCAUUUGCAUCAUCGGUGAAUGUUUUUGAAUGUUCAUAGAGGAAAGAAACUUUGAAUUCAAAUGCUUUCAAAUCAAUCUAUGCAACAAGAAGCUGACAAAGUAGUGCAGAGAAAUUUUAUAAACGAGCUAAAGAAGAAUAUAAAUUUAAUAUUAUUAUGAUUUUGAAGUAUUGUCUUACUUCGAAGUAUGAACAGCAAUGUACCAUACUUAAGAACAUAGCAAGACCUAAAAUACAAAUGAUUUGUUCCUAACAAAACUAUAUAUAUUGUAUAAAAGUAACUUAUGUUUGAUUUUGUUUAAGCAACACCUCCUUAAUCACUUUCUCCAAGUUCAUGUAUGAACAACCUCCAGGUCUCGUGUACACCUCCGCCUUUUUCUUCAGCUCCAUGGCCUUUUGCCUCAUCUUCUUUCCUUUAUCUCAGGACAUCAAUUCAUUGACCAGUUUCUCCACGUCCUCCCUCUUUACAUUUGUAUCAAUUUCGUUUCCAAUCUUCCAUUCAUUGCAAAUAUAUCUUCAGUUUGCUGGCUGAUCUGCAAAAAAUGGCCAACACAACAUUGGAACUCCAGCACAUAUGCUUUCAGUGGUUGAGUUCCAUCCGCAAUGAGUCAAGAAUCCACCGACUGAUGGGUGGUUCAAUACUUUCUCUUGUGGACACCAACUUGCUAUUAGUCCUCUAUCUGAAAUUUCUUUCAAAAAUCAGAUGAGAAAACCACCGAGCCACCAAUGACAAGAUCAGGCCUAAUGAUCCAUAAAAAUGGUUUCUUGCUGUUGGCCAAACCCCAAGCAAACUCUAAGGCUUCUCUUGAGACUUAACAGUGAUGCUGCCAAAAUUUACAUAAACAACAGAUCCUGGUUCUUUUGAUUCAAGCCAUUCAAGACAUUUAGUAUCUUCUUUCCAAAGAUUACAGUCUAAAGAUGUCAAGUGAUUUUGUGGACUUUGAUUUACAAAAGAAGCUAAUGGACCAAUUGUGUAUAGAGAAGGGAACAUAGAAUAGAAAGCAUUCAUAACAUCACUCUCAAGUUCAUUAGAAGUAUUGAAUACCAUACCAGAAGCUCUAAGACAUUUAUCUGCCACUUCAGUGUUAAAUCUUAUCGUCAAGUCAUUAGGAUUUUUUGUCUUUAUUAACCUAGGAAGAUCCUUCAAUCUGAAGUUUUUCAAACCUGGGAUCCAGUCAACUUUCGUGUCCAGAUAUUCAUUUGUUAGAUCACUCUCAUCUGCAUGUCAUAAUUGCAAAAAUCAAUAGCUUAAAGUCAUAUGUAUAAAUAUAUAUCAUGGUUUAAAAUCACAUUAACAAUAAUAAUUUUGCCUGUGCUAUCAUAUUGAUAUUGCAUAUAAUCCCAAUCAAAUCUGGCUGAUGAAACCUCAAUUGUGAUUAUAGAGACAUCGCAACCUUGAUGUUCGGCCCAUAUUGUGACCGCAAAGCUUUUUUAAAAACCAUAACAUACACACAAAAACACACACAGAUCUCCUAAAAAGAAAAAGGGAACAGAAAUGAUUACCUUUGAAUGGUAGUUGACUAUUCUGAUACAUUUUAGGACUGAGCAAACAAGCCAAGAAAUAACAUGCUCUACUUGGGGAAAAAAGAACAACUGGGAGUGCAUGUUCUUCAGCAGCAGCUACUGUAAAUGGCAUGUAGCAAUCAGAAACUAAGCAAGUGACUGGGGGGAUAAGACCAGCAGUGGCAGAGUCUUGAAGUUUAGCAAGAAGUUCAUCAAAGAAGUGGUGAAAGUUCGUUAUGAUUGAUUCACCAAGAGAGUGUAGGUCUUGACUAAUAUCACCAUCACCAUCCUUUGGAGUUAAACCAUCUGGUAUAGUCUCAAAGUUAAAGUCAGUGAAACCAUCAAAGGCAUUUUCACCUCUUGAUUUAGCAAACGUUUGUGAUUGUAUUCAGUGUUAACAAAGGUUUAUGUGAAAGCCUCUUAGGUGAAGCAGUUUUGCUAUUUUCAACAAUGCAUUGAUAUGACCUUGAACUGGAAAUGGAGUUAAUUAACACUGCAUGUGGCCUUUUCUCUUCAAAGUUGGUCAUGUUUGAUAUUUUUCUUAUGUAAGAAAACAGAGAAAAAACUGAGGUGAAAAAUCUAUGAGGCCUCUAUAACAAUGAGUAAGUUUUGUUACAUAUCUAUUAUCUAUUAUAUAGUAUAAAAAAAUUCUUAAGAAUAGAAAAACCAUUUUUUUUUAAUAAUUCAAUUACUGUCUAAUUCAUGUUUAUCUAAUUUUUAGUAUUUUAAUAAUUGAGAAGAUAAUAAUAUUUUUUUUAAUGUUGACGUUCCGAUUUUUAGAGAAAAUGGGUUCUGAUAAUUUGGAGUUCGGUCGUGAGGUAAACAUCACCUUACCAAGAAUUGAGAAGAGAAUAAAAUAAAAUAUAAUAACAUGAAUCUAACUGAAAAAUGAGGAGAUUGAAACUCCGAAAGCAACGUCUGCAUGUUGAAAGGAGACCACUUUCUAUACACACACAAUGGUGUUCAGACGGGUACAGACUUGCCAAUCUAUUUAUUAUGACCAACUAAACAAACAUACGAUUUUUAAACGUUAUCUAUGCGGACAGACUCUGGACCAUUGUUCAAGUCACAUGACUUUUAAACGUUAUCAAUUUGGUGCGCUUUUAAUCGAUUUUGAGGCUAAAAGACAUCCCAAUCGUAAGAUAAAAGAGUAUUUAGUUUGGUUUGGUUCAGUUGAUUUUUAAAAUAAAAUUUAAACCAAACCAAACCAAUAUGAUUUGAGUUGUAUUGGUUGAUGCGGUUUUUUUGAGACAAUACAAUUUUUUGUUUCCAACAUUAAAAUCGAGUUAAAAAGCUAUAACACAACAUAUUUUCAAUAAUGUUUGAAACAAUGUUUUCAAUUUCAUCCAACAUUACAAUUUUAUUUUCACAAAACAAAAUAGACGAAAUUUAAAAUGUGGACAAAAAGUAAUCCUAUUAUUUAAUAAAUGUAAAAGAUUAAGAUUUAUUAUUCUUAAAAUUUUAUUUUAUAAUUUUUUUAAUUUUUGAAAUAGAAAGCAAAGAAGAAACUUAACGUACAAGGGAAAAAAAUAUGCCGUUUUAUAAAAGUUUUUAUUGAGUUUCUAUGAGUAUUGGUGUAGGUGACAUAGGUUUAAUUUGGUUAGGUGACAUAGUUUCUAUGAGUAUGUCGUUUUACAAAAUAGUUUUUUUGCAUUUUUUGGUAUAUAAGAAGAAACAUAAACUAGUAUACAUAUGAUUUUUUGACAAAAUGGAUCCUUCACAUGAUAAUGGAAUUCAAGAUACUGUGAAAGAAUUCUUAUUCACCCAACUUAACAUAUUUAAACUUGUAGGAUUUAUAUUAUAAAGUUAAUAUACAUGCCAUAUAAUUAUCCAAUAUGCAUAUAUUCAAAACACUUAAAAUUAGCAAGAAUCACUAUUUAAGUUCAGGAACUCUUGCUGAAGAUGACUUCACUUACAUCAGAACUUAAAUUCAAUAGGGGAAGAUCAAUUAAUUAUCGUUGAACUGAAUUGCAUAAAAAAGUUACUUAAAUUGAUUUUGUUUAAGCAAAACCUCCUUGAUCACUUUGUCCAAGUUCAUGUAUGAACAACCUCCAGCUCUCGUGUUUUCCUCCACUUUCUUCUUCAACUCAAUUGCCUUUUGCCGCAUCUUCUUUCCUUUCUCUCCUGACAUCAAUUCAUUGACAAGUUUCUCCACCUCUUCUCUCUUUACAUUCGUAUCGAUUUCCAUCCCAAUCUCCCAUUCAUUGUAAAUAAGUCUACAGUUUGUUGGCUGAUCACCAAAGAAUGGCCAACACAACAUUGGAACUCCAGCACAUAUGCUUUCAGUGGUUGAGUUCCAUCCGCAAUGAGUCAAGAAUCCGCCAAUUGAAGGGUGGUUCAAUACUUUCUCCUGUGGACACCAACUUGCAAUUAAGCCUCUAUCUGAAAUUUCAUUCACAAACUCAGAUGACAAAACGACUGAGCCACCAAUGACAAGGUCAGGCCUAAUGAUCCACAAAAAGGGUUUAUUGCAAUUGGCCAACCCCCAAGCAAAUUCCAACAGUUGUUUUGGUGUCAUAACUGUAAUGCUUCCAAAAUUCACAUAAACAACGGAUCCCGGCUCCUUGGAUUCAAGCCAUUCAAGACACUUAGUAUCUUCUUUCCAAAGGUUGGAACCUAAAGAAUCCAAUUGAUGAAUUUGUGGAGUUUGGUUUAAUAAUGAAGGUAAAGGGCCAAUGGGGUAAAGAGAAGGAAACAUAGAGGAGAGAGCAUUUAUUACAUCACUCUAAAGUUCAUGGAAAGUAUUCAAAACAAUUGUAGAGUCUCCAAGAACUUUAUCAGCCGCAUCAAUUACAAAGUCUAACAUAAUAUCAUUUGGAUCUGUUGUCCUGAUACUGUCAAAGAUAUCCUUUAACCGAAAGUUUUUCAAACCUGGAAUCCAAUCUACAUUAGUUUCCAAAUAUCCAUUUGUUAGAUAGCUCUGAUCUGCAUAUCAAAUGUAUCAGUUAAUAUCUUGAAGGUUAUACAUACAUCCGUACAUACAUGAGUAUUUUGUUUUCGACAAAAACAUACAUAUAUAAUAAGGUAUUAUAAAUUGAAUAAAAGUCAUUUAUUGAUGUAUAAAUUUUAAUUUUGAAGUUUUAUGAAAUUUGUGGAGUUCCUCUAUUCAAUAAGAGUUUUUAAUUUGAUGGUUGCUUUAUUGAAAUUUAGUGUCUACAUUGAGUUUUAUAUUAACUGAAACUAUAUCAAGUGUUACUCUUGGAGUAAGUUGAUUAUCUCGCACACGACCAUUUAUAUAGAUUUAAUUCAUAUAUAGAGUCAAAGUAAAAGUUUUUUACACCGUCAAUAAAUCAUAAGUGUCAGAAUAGUGUAGCAAAAUUAAUAUUAAUCUCUCUAUAAAUAUAUACUUUAUGAAGAAAAAAACUUAACUUAGUACCUUUGAGUGGCGUGAGACCUUUUUCUACAAAGGAACGUAAGUGGUGAAUACUCAGUAACAAACUUGCACUGGAUGGAAAGAAGAUAACAAUUGGUAGUGCAAAUUCUUCAGCAGCUUGUAUAGUAAAGCUCAUAAAAUAAUCAGAAACUAAGCAAGUAACUGGUGGAACAUUGGCAGAGUCAUUAAGUCUUGUAAGAAGUUCACAAAAAGGUUUAAGGAAAUUUUUUCUUAUAGAUUGAGCAAGAGAAGGUACAUCUUGACUAACAUCACCAUCACCUUCUAUCGGUGUUAGACCAUCUGGUAUGGUUUCAAAGCAAAAACCACGGGAACCAUCUAAGGCAUUUGGACCUCUUGAUUUUAGCAAUCGUUUAUGAUUGUAUUCAGUGUUGACAAAGGUUAUAUGAAAUCCUCUAAGGUGAAGAAGUUUUGCAAGUUUGAACAAUGGAUUUAUAUGUCCUUGAAAUGGAGCUGGAAUCAACACAGCAUGUGGUUUUCUGUUUGCAAAACUUCCCAUCUUUGAAAUUUUUCUGUUUGUAUGUUAUUUGUGCAAGAUAUGAGGUUGAAAAACAAGUGAUAGGCAUGUGCUUUUAUAGAGAGAAAAAAGGACAAUGCUACAAAAUUGAAAAAUAUAAAGAAAUCCAAACAGAUAAAUUCUGGGAGGUUCUAACAAAAGGAAAUAAGUUCAUUGUAUGAAAAGACAGACACAUAAAAAGACACCAAAAAUGACACUGACACGUUAACGUCAAUGAUAAUUUGAGAAAUAAAUUAAUUCAAUGUAAUUACAAUGUGUCUGACAUAAAAUUGAAAUCUUAUACAGGUAUGUUCUUGUAAACUUUCCUAUAUGACUCAUUAUAUUGAUUGAAUAUGUUUGUUGGUAUUUGGUUUAACCAAUCAAUGUGGCAUUAACAAUUCAACUGUUACUUGUUACUUAGAUGUCGUUUGAGAUUUAUUUGGGAAUUGAUAAAAUAGAAAAGUUGAGAAAAACUUUAUAUUGUGAUCCUAAAAUCACUAAUAUAACCAAAUUGAAUCUAACCAUAUCUAACUAUCUUCCAAAAUAUUAAACUAAUUUUAACAAAUCUGAAACUACAUCUAACACAUACUUGCAUGGAAUUGCAACCAUUCAGUAGAAAGAUAUUAUCAAACAAAAUCUUCAUAUGCUUGUGGACCAACUCUAUACGUUUCAGUUUCAAAAUUGAACUAGAAGGCACUUCUAUUCAAGUAAGUAUAAGAUAGUUCUGACAUCAAAGAUUUUUGUUGUACAAAGAAAAUAAUUAUGUCCACUUAUUUAUUUUAUAAUAGUCUAUUGGCUAUUAUUUUCCAUGCUUGAAUCAGUCAGACAUUAGACAUCACAAAAAAAAUAUUAGUCCCUUUCAACAAGGGCUCAUGAUUAUCUCCAAAAGUUACAAUUGCAUAAAAGUCAAAUUCACUUUUAUUGUGCAGAAUAGUGACUAGUGGAUAUGUUGUCUUCAUUAUCAAUGGUACCUUCCAUAAGGGCUUUGUGUCCUCUAAUUUUUUUACUAGUCUUUAUUUAUGCAUGUAUUAUAAUCCUUUAUCAUGUCUAUGAGAUAUGGGCUCAAUGGUAAAAAUUUCAGCCAGUAAUCUCAAAGGACAAAGUUCAAACUCCCUUGAUAACAGUGGUAAAAUGGUCAUUGUUGUAACUUUAAUUAAUAAUUCUUAUUUUCACUAAUAAGAAUGUUAAAAUAUGUCUUGAAAUCUCAUGUUAAAAGUUUUUUUUCUUUUCGGUUUGAUUAUUGUCCCCAUGCGCUGGGCGAAGCUGUUUGCUGUUUUCAUCAUGUUGCUAUUUUGUUGCUUGGAUGAGGCGAUAUAGCUAAAUGAGUCAUAGGUGUGCGUCAAGAUCUAUAGAUAAGCAAUUUUUGCAUCAGUUUUCAGGGUGAAAAUGUGUGAAUUUUAGGGUUACAAAAGAGGGAAUUUUUAGGGUUAAAAGUUGAGAGCUUUUGGAAAAAUUAUAGGAUUAGGAAACAUUUUUGUACAUCUUGGAAAUAAAGCAUCGAGUCUUUUGUCCAUCGGAAGAGAAUUGGGAAAAUUGUAACCCUUGUAUUUCUUUGUAAGAAACUCUUUGUUAGUGGUAAGCCAGAUUUGGGUCGAACUGGAUAACUUUGUUUUGGUUGUUGCUAAUAUUUCUCCACACUUCAAAGUAUUGAUGUGAGUUUUUACAAAUUCACAACAACUGGAACCCACCGUGGGAGAAAUAAGAGGUAACUUUUUCAAGUGUGCAACAUGGGUACCAACUGGGAUAUCAAUAAAUUUAUCGGAGACAACGAUUUGGGGCUGUGAAAAGUGAAGAUGAAAGAUGUGUUGAUUCAACAAAAGUUUGCAGAAGCACUGAAGGAUGAGGUUGCUCUCCCAGCUACCAUGUUACAAGCAAACAAGACCGAGAUGGUGGACAAGGCCAUGAGUGUCAUUGUCUUGUGCCACACUGAUAAAGGUUUUAGAGAAAUCGUAAAGGAGCAAUUGACGAGUCCUACAAAAUCCUUGAUGAUUUGACAACUAUUAAAGUGGAUAUUGAGGAUGAAGACACGGAUAUACUCUUAUUAUUAUGAGCAUUAGCUAGAUCCUUUGAGAACUUCAAGGAUACUAUGCUUUAUGGUAAAGAAGUCAUUGUCACUUCGAGGAAGUCCAAGAGGCACAUAACCAAGUCCAAGAACUUGAAAGUUGAUGAUAGUGGUGAAGACAUGAGUGUCUAAAGAGGAAGACGUAUAAGUUGAUGAAAUCGAGGAAGCUCAAUUGAUGGUGCAAGUUGAAGUACAAAUACUCCAAGUGUCAAACGACCGGUCACUUCAAUAAGGACAUUCCCAAGUUAGAGGACAUUAAUGAUUCCGCACAAUUUGCAUUUGCAACAUCAGUGAAUGUUUUUGAAUGUUCACGGAAAGAACCUUUAAUUUCAAAUCAAUCUAUGCAACAAGAAGCUGAUAGUGUAGUGCAGAGAAGUAUGCUUUUGAAGUAUGAUUUCCAAGACAUCCUUAAUCACUUUGUCCAAGUUCAUGUAUGAAGAAUCACCAGGUCUUGUGUCCUUCUCUGCCUUCUUCUUCUUCAACUCCACGGCCUUUUGCCUCAUCUUUUUUCCUUUCUGUCCCACCAUUAAUUCAUUCAUCAGCUUCUCCACCUCCUCUCUCUUCACAUUUGUAUCAAUUUCGAUUCCGAUCUCCAACUUAUUACAAAUAUAUCUGCAGUAUGUUGGCUGCUCAGAAAAAAAAGGCCAACAUAACAUUGGUACUCUGGCACAAAUGCUUUCCAAUGUGGAGUUCCAUCCACAAUGAGUCAAGAAUCGUCCAACUGAAGGGUGGUUCAACACUUGCUCUUGCGGACACCAGCUUGCUAUUUGGCCUCUAUCCGAAGUUCCAUUCACAAACUCGGAUGACAAAAUAACUGAGCCACCAAUGACAAGCUAAGGCCUAAUGAUCCACAAAAAAGGUUUCUUGCUGUUGGCAAAACCUCAAGAGAACUCUAACUGCUCUGGAGUCAUAACCAUAGUGCUUCCAAAAUUCACAUAAACUACAGAACCUUGUUCCUUAGAUUCAAGACAUUUCAUAUCUUCUUUCCAAAGAUUGGAACCUAAAGAAGCCAAGUGCUUUUGGGGAUUUUGAUUCAAAAACGAAGAUAAAGGGCCAAUGGCGUAAAUAGAAGGGAUCUUAAUAGAUAGAGCCUUUACUACAUCACUCUCAAGUUCAUUAUAAGUAUUGAAAACAAUAGCGUUAGCUUCAUGAACCAUAUCGUCCGCUUCAAUGAUAAAAUUUAUCAUUAGGAUCAGUAGUUCUUAUAAAAUCAAGCAGGUCCUUUAGUCUAAUGUUUCGCAAACCUGGAAUCCAGUCAACUUUAGUGACCAAAUAUCCAUUUGUCAGAUAACUCAUCUGCAUAUUAUAAUCACAAAAUCCAUUAGCUUAAAGUUAAAACUCUGAACCCCUAAUAUAUAUCAUAUUAAUUCUAAUACUACAUUCUAUGUUGUAUACAUACUCUCAGUUUCUCCAAAGGAAGAACUUCCAUAGUAAAACUAAACUAUAGUAAUGAAACUCUUCACUUCUGCAUAAUAGUCCUACACUAUCGAUAAAGAAAGAACAUAAAUGAUUACCUUUGAGGGGUAUGACACCUUUAUCAAUAAAUGUACGAAAGAGCAAAGCACACAAAAGUGAGGAUGCACUAGCAGGAAUAAUUCAAUAUCAGAAACUAAGCAACUAACAGGAGGAAUAAGAUCAUCAUUGGAAGAAUCUUUUAAGUUUAGCAAGAAGUUCACAAAAAGGGUGAUAGAAAUUCUUUCUUAUUGAAUCAUCAAGAGAGACAAUUUCUUGACUAAUAUCACCAUAACCUUCUGUCGGAGUUAAACCAUCUGGAAUAGUCUCAAAGGUAAAAUCAGUGAAACCAUCAAAGGCUUUUGGACCUCUUGAUUUGAGCAAAUGUUUGUGAUUUCGGUGUUGACAAAGGUUAUGUGAAAGCCUCUAAGGUGAAGAAGUUUUGCUAGUUUCAAUAAUGGAUUGAUAUGGCCUUGAAGUGGAUAUGGAGUUAUGCUUACUGAUAUGAGUGAGAAGCAUAAGAAAAUCAUAAAUAUAUUUGACUUUAAUAGGUCCCCCAAAUCAUUGGAAUAUAAAAGUUAGGUGCACAAUUUUUCAUCAAGAAUUUGUUUGCAGCACGCAUUGGAAGUUUGUUUAUUUUUAUUCUCAUUAAGAAUUUGUUGGCACUGCACAUGCAUAUACAAUUGUUUCUUGGUUGAAAAAUAAUAUAUUUUUCAUGGUUUAUACUAUUUCAAUUCUUUUCUUGUUGAUAGUUGAAAUGGCAAGAAUCGUUGAAAACUCGCACACAUAAGUGGAGAAGUUUGGAUUCGAAACCCCAGUUACGGAGUUGGCCUAACAAUUUUGUUCUUUAUUGUCUAUUAAGCUAGAACUUGUCGACAUUUAUUUCCUGUUUUUUAUCAGACCAUACAUGUGAAUUUGAAUUGCAUGCAAGCACAAUUUCCACGCGAUCAGAAUUAAUUCAAUCAACAGCUCGGAGUCAUUUCAUCAAAUAUUCGACGUCUCUUAUUGUAGGAUAUGUGAAUCCAUUUUAAAAGCAAACUUAAAAUUGGAGUCGUCCAAUGUUAAUCUAAUAUCUCCGAGCUGCGCUGGCUGAACAAGUGCCUAAAAUUGUGAUUGUAGACAAAGGUUGCUAGUAAAAAUACUUCCUUAUCUUAGUUUUAAACGAUUCAUUAUAUUGCAUCUAAAUAGAAAAUAGAGAAAAACAUAAAAUUUAUAGUUCUGUUAUUGAUGAAAUGAUUUCCUAAAAGAAAAAAGCUUUGAAACUAUAACCUCUACGUACCGAGAAAUAGAAUGCUCAUAUACAUAUUCCCACCAAUAUUUUUCACUUCAAAUGAAUGUAACUAAAUGUAUCGGGGUCGUUUAGGUGUCAAAUAUCAACAUGUGAAGUGUCAAUGCUACACACUUUAAAACCUUCAACCUAAGUAAGCUUACCAUGUCUAUUUUAUUUUAAAACUGAUUUCUAUUUUAGAGUAAAAUAUUUACUUAUGACUUGUAUUUAAUUAGUUAAUCCUGAUAAAACUAUAAAUCUUGUAUAGAACGAUAGAACGAUAUUAAUUUAAACCUGUACACACAGAAAAAUGAUUGGUUUGCCUUAAUUUAUCCUAUACAUGAUAAUGGAAUUCAACAUAGUGUGCAAAAGCCUUACCUACCCCAUAUAAUUAUCCAAUUCAAUACAUUUAAUAUUAGCAAGAAGCACUAUUUUAGUUUAAGAAUUCUUGCACAAGAUAUGUUCGAUACAGUCAUCAUGAACUCAUUACUUAUUCACUACAAUAGCCUCAUCCCUUAAAUUCAAUAGCAGAAGAUCAAUGGAUCAAUAUAAUACUACAUUGCAUUAAAAACGUCACUUAGGUGUGAUUUUAUUUAAGCAAAACCUCCUUAAUCACUUUUUCCAAGUUCAUGUAUGAACAACCACCAGGUCUCGUGUCCUCCUCCGCCUUCUUCUUCAUCUCCAUUAUAUUUUUCCUCAUCUUCUUUCCUUUAUCUCCCACCAUCAAUUCAUUGACCAAAUUCUCCACCUCAUUUCUCUUCACAUUAGUAUCGAUUUCGAUUCCAAUCUCCCAUGUAUUGCAGAUAUAUCUACAGUUUGCUGGCUGAUCAGCAAAAAAUGGCUAACACAACAUUGGAACUCCAGUAGAUAUGCUUUCGGUCGUUGAGUUCCAUCCACAGUGAGUCAAGAAACCACCAAUUGAAGGAUGGUUCAAUACUUUCUCUUGCGAGCACCAACCAGCAAUUAGGCCUCUAUCUGAAAUUUCAUUCACAAACUCCGAUGACAAAACAACUGAGCCACCAAUGACAAGAUCGGGCCUAAUGAUCCACAAAAAGAGUUGCUUGCUAUUUGCUAAACCCCAUGCAAACUCUAACAGUUUUUCUGAAGUCAUAACUGUCCUGCUCCCAAAAUUCACAUAAACAACGGACCUCGGUUCCUUUGAUUCAAGCCAAUCAAGACACUUGUUAUCUUCUUUCCAAAGAUUGGUACUUAAACUUGCCAAGUGAUUCUGUGGACUUUGACUUAAAAGUGAAGAUAAAGGGCCAAUAGCAUAAACAUUAGGGAACGUCGAAGAGAUAACUUUCAUUACAUCCUUCUCAAGUUCAUUAGAAGUAUUAAAAAUAAAAGCAGAGGCUCUGUGAGCCCUUCCUGCUGCUUCAAUGAUAAAUUCUACCAUCGAAUCAUUUGGAUCAGUAAUCUGUAUAAAGGCAGGCAAAUCCCUCAGUCGAAAGUUCUUCAGUCCUGGCAUACAGUCCACUUUAGUGUCCAAAUAUCCGUUUGUCAGAUAACUCUCAUCUGCAUAUCAAAUUUACAAAAGUUGUUAGUGUGAAAUUGAAUCUCCAUACUCCAAAUAUAUGUCAUAUGAACACUUUAACUACUCUACACAUAUGAAGAAAGAAAGAAGAUUAAUUGUUACCUUUUAGUGGUAUGAGACCUUUAUCUAGAAAUGUACGUAAAUGAAUACCAGUCAGAAAUGUACAUGCAUUGGAUGGACUAAAGACAACAUUAGGGAUUGAAAGUUCUUCAGCAGCUUGUAUAGUAAAGGACAUGCUAAUAUCAGAAACUAUGCAACUAACUGGACGGACAAGACCAGAUGUUGCAGAGUCAUUAAGUCUAGCAAGAAGUUCGCGGAAAGGUUGUAGAAAAUUCUUCCUGAUUGAUUUACAAAGAGCGUAAAUGUCUUGACUAACAUCGCCAUCGCCAUCCGUUGGAGAUAAACCAUCUGGAAUACUCUCAAAGUUAAAAUUGGUGAAACCAUCAAAGGCAUUUUGACCUCUUGACUUGAGCAACCGUUUGUGAUUGUAUUCAGUGUUUACAUAGGUUAUGUGAAAACCUCUAAGGUGAAGAAAUUUUGCUAGUUGCAACAAUGGAUUGAUAUGGCCUUGAACUGGAUAUGGGAUUAACACAGCAUGUGGUUUUUUAUCACUCAUUAUUGAGUUUUUGUGUUUGAAUGUUGAGCUAAGGAAACCAAUGUUUUAAUAAAGAUAAAUCCAAUGUUUCUUGGAUUUGUGGAAAAGAAGAUAGAGACAAAAGACAAGGAAAGCAAAAUCAAAUUUAAAGGGUGAGAUCUUUUUCUUAUAAUAUGAAAUAAUUCUAAGUGACACAAUAAUUGAUGCAUACUAGUCAAGUCACCACUUUUUGUUACGUGAGAGAAGGAAAACAAUUUUUCAUUAAAAAGUUUAUAGCACAAACUUAAGAAUGCCUUUAGUAUGCGGUGGUCAGAAUUGAUUUAAAUAAAUUUGUUUGUUAAAAUUAGUUUUUGUUAAAAAGGGCGUUGGAUAUAAAAUUAUUUAUACUUAUAUAUAUUUACGUAAAUUUGAGUUGAGCAAAAAAUUAAAGACUUAAAAUCAAAGACUAAAAAUUGAAGACUUAUCUAACUUAAAUACUAUUAGUUAGACAUCGUUUGGGAUUUAUUUUGGAAUUGAUAGAAUAAUAAAGUUGAGAAACACUGUAUAUUGUGAUCCUAAGAUCACUAAUAUAACCAACCUUGCAUCUAAUCAUAACUAACUUUUUUUUAUAAGCAAUAAUCAUAACUAACUUAUAACUAUCUUAAACAAUACUAAACUAAUUUCAACAAAUAUGAAACUAUAUCUAACACAUACUUGCAUGGAAUUGCAACCAUUCAGUAGAAAGAUAUUAUCAAACAAAAUCUUCAUAUGCUUGUGGACCAACUCUAUACGUUUCAGUUUCAAAAUUGAACUAGAAGACACUUCUAUUCAAGUAUAAGAUAUAUAGUUCUGACAUCAAAGAUUUUUGUUGUACAAAGAAAAUAAUUAUGACCACUUAUUUAUUUUAUAAUAGUCUAUUGGCUAUUAUUUUCCAUGCUUGAAUCAGUCAGACAUUGGACAUCACAAAAAUAUUUGUCCCUUUCAACAAGAGCUCAAGAUUAUCUACAAAGUCUCAAUUCCAUAAAAGCCAAAUUCAUUUUUAUAUGUUGUCCCUUUACACAUGAAUUAUAAUCCUUUAUCACGCUACAACGUAUCAGCUCAAUGGUAAGAGUUUGAGCUUGUAAUCUCAAAGGACAAAGUUUAAAUUCCCUUAAUAACAAUGGUAAAAUGCUCAUUGUUGUAACUUUAAUUAAUAAACACUUAUUUUGACUAAUAGGAAUGUUAAAAUAUGUCUUGAAAUCUCAUGUUGAAAGUUUUUUUACUUUACUAUUGCCCCCAUGCGCUAGGCGCAGUUGUUUGUUGUUUUUAGCAUGUUUCUAUUUUGUAGCUUGCAUGAGGCGAAGGGUAUAGCUGAUUUAGCAGGUGUGCGUCAUGAUCUAUAUUAGUUAGGGGACAUUGAUGAUUCCACACAAUUGGCAUUUGCAAACAUCAAUGAAUGUUUUUGAAUGUUUAAAUAAGAAAGAACCUUUGAAUUCAAAUGCUUUCAAAUCAAUCUAUGCAACCAGAAGCUGACAAUGUAGUGCAGAGAAAUUUUAUAAAAGAUCAAAAGAAGAAUAUAAAUAUAAUAUUAAUAUGAUUUUCAACUAUUGUCUUACUUUGAUUCAGGUGAAUUCAAUCAAUCAAAAUUUGAAGGGGAAAAAUAAAGGUAUGUGAUCUUUAUUUAUGAAGAAUGAACUUGAUGAACAAGAAUGCAUCAUUACAAUGUUUCUGACUAAAUUGUUGAUGUUCAUACUUAAGAACAUAGGAAGACCUAAAAUAUGAAUUAUUUGUUCCUAACAAAACUAUAUAUAUUGUAUAAAAGUGACUUAAGCUUGAUUUUGUUUAAGCAACACCUCCUUAAUCACUUUCUCCAAGUUUGUGUAUGAACAACCUCCAGGUCUCGUGUCCACCUCCACCUUCUUCUUCAGCUCAAUGGCUUUUUGCCUCAUCUUCUUUCCUUUAUCUCCGGACAUCAAUUCAUUGACCAGUUUCUCCACCUCCUCCCUCUUUACAUUAGUAUCGAUUUCCUUUCCAAUCUCCCAUUCAUUGCAAAUAUAUCUGCAGUUUGCUGGCUGAUCCGAAAAAAAUGGCCAACAUAACAUUGGAACUCCAGCACAUAUGCUUUCAGUGGUUGAGUUCCAUCCGCAAUGAGUCAAGAAUCCACCGACUGAAAGGUGGUUCAAUACUUUCUCUUGUGGACACCAACUUGCUAUUAGUCCUCUAUCUGAAAUUUCUUUCAAAAAAUCAGAUGAGAAAACCACCGAGCCACCAAUGACAAGAUCAGGCCUAAUGAUCCACAAAAAGGGUUUUUUGCUGUUGGCCAAACCCCAAGCAAACUCUACGAGCUUCUCUCGAGACAUAACAGUGAUGCUGCCAAAAUUUACAUAAACAACAGAUCUUGGUUCUUUUGAUUCAAUCCAUUCAAGACAUUUAGUAUCUUCUUUCCAAAGAUUAGAGUCUAAAGAUGUCAAGUCAUUUUGUGGACUUUGAUUUACAAAAGAAGCUAAUGGACCAAUUGUGUAUAGAGAAGGGAACAUAGAAUAGAAAGCAUUCAUAACAUCACUCUCAAGUUCAUUAGAAGUAUUGAAUACCAUACCAGAAGCUCUAUGACAUUUAUCUGCCACUUCAGUAUUAAAUCUUAUCGUCAAGUCAUUAGGAUUUUUUGUCUUUAUUAACCUAGGAAGAUCCUUCAAUCUGAAGUUUUUCAAACCUGGGAUCCAGUCAAUUUUUGUGUCCAAAUAUUCAUUUGUUAGAUCACUCUCAUCUGCAUGUCAUAAUUGCAAAAAUCAAUAGCAAGUCAUAUGUAUAAAUAUAUAUAUCAAGGUUUAAAAUCACAUUUGCAAUAAUAAUUUUGGUUGUGUUAUCCUACUGAUAUUGCAUAUAAUCCCAAUCAAAUGUGGUUGAUGCAACCUCAAUUGCGAUUAUAGAGAUAUCGCAACCUUGAUGUUCGGCCCAUAUUGUGACCGCAAACCUUUUUUAAAAACCAUAACAUACACACACAGAUCUCUUAAGAAGAAAAAGGGAACAAAAAUGAUUACCUUUGAAUGGUACUUGACUAUUCAGAUACAUUUUAGGACUGAGCAAACAAGACAAGAAAUAACAUGCACUACAUGGGGAAAAAAGAACAAUUGGGAGGGCAUGUUCUUCAGCAGCAUCUACUGUAAAUGGCAUGUAGCAAUCAGAAACUAAGCAAGUGACUGGGGGGAUAAGACCAGCAGUGGCAGAGUCUUGAAGUUUAGCAAGAAGUUCAUCAAAGAAGUGGCGAAAGUUCGUUAUGAUUGAUUCACCAAGAGAGUGUAGGUCUUGACUUACAUCACCAUUACCAUCCUUUGGAGUUAAACCAUCUGGUAUAGUCUCAAAGUUAAAGUCAGUGAAACCAUCAAAGGCAUUUUCACCUCUUGAUUUGAGCAAACGUUUGUGAUUGUAUUCAGUGUUAACAAAGGUUAUGUGAAAGCCUCUAAGGUGAAGCAGUUUUGCUAUUUUCAACAAUGCAUUGAUAUGGCCUUGAACUGGAAAUGGAGUUAACACUGCAUGUGGCUUUUUCUCUUCAAAGUUACUCAUGAUUGAUAUUUUUCUUAUGUAAGAAAACUAAGAAAAAACUGAGGUGAAAAAUCUAUGAGGCCUCUAUAUAUAACAAUGAGUGAAUUUUGUUACGUAUCUAUUAUCUAUUGUAUAAUAUAAAAAAAUUCUUAAGAAUGGAAAAAACCAUUUUUCUUUUUGAAUAAUUCAAUUACUGUCUAAUUCAUUUUUAUCUAAUUUUUAGUAAAUUGAAAAUCGGAUUUUCUAAUUAAGAUAAUCCAUAUUUGAUAAUUUUUUCUAUACAUCAAACUUUCUUUAUAAACUCUUCCCCUUAAAUAUAUUAAGAGAAGGCCAUAUUUGACAAUAUAUCUUCUAAACCAAUAAAAAUCAAAUUGCAAAUUCUAUGGUACAGCCAAUAUAUUUGAAUGUACCGGUACACUUACUCUUUAAAUUAAUGGUUAAAUGAGUUGUUUUUUGAAGAAAAAUAUUAUUUUCUAUCCUUUAUAUUUAUAAUAACUAAAUCUUAUUCAUCAAAAGUGUUAACGAAAUAAAAUUAAUUUUUUUUGAAUUUUUAGCACUCAUAGUUGAGAAUAUUGAUUAUAUUUUACGAUAAUAUGCAAAAAAAUUACUAUAAUUCUUAUAAAUAAUGAACUGAUGUUUUUUCUUAUGAAAUGAUGUUCUAUAAAAUAUAAAUAUUGAUAAAUAGUUAUUUAUUUCACAAAAAAUAAUCGUUAAUUUAUAAAAUUAUGAAAAAAGAGUACCGGUACACCUCAUUUUGUGAGUCUACAAUAGAAGUUCCCCAAAUCAAAUACAGUCAAAAUAUACUUUAAGUAAAAAAAAUAAAAAUCAAAUAUACUUAAUACAAUAAAAAUCCAAUUUGGACUUGACAAAGAAAAAAAUCCAACAUGUGCAACAAAUUGACGUGGUGAACGAAAGCAACGUCUGCAUGUUGAAAGGAGACCACUUUCUGUGGUGGGGACUGAUUUUAUAUACAGACAAUGGUGUUCAGACGGGAACAGACUUGCCAGUCUAUUCUUUUAAUAGUGUUAAUUAAGGGUGUUUUGGUGCAUUUUUAAUCGAUUUUGAGGUUAAAAGUUAUCCAAAUCGUAAAAUAAAAGAGCAUCAUGUUUGAUUUAAUUGACUUUUAAAAUAAAACUUGAACCAAAUCAAUAUGGGUUGAAUUAUAUUGGUUCGUGUGGUUUUUUCGAGACUAUAAUUUUUUAUUUUUAACAUUAAAAUCGAGUUAAAAACUUAUAACACAACAUAUUUCCAAUAAUGUUUCCGACAAUGUUUUCAAUUUCAUCCAACAUGACAAUUUUAUUUUCACCAAAUAAUAAUAUAGACGAAAUUUAAAAUGUGGACAAAAAGUAAUCCUAUUAAAGAAAUGUAAAAUACUAAGAUUUAUCAUUCUAUAAAAUUUUAUUUUAUAAAAGUUUCCAUUUUUGAAAUAAAAAGUAAAGAAGAAAAUUAACAAGAGAAAAUAAUAUGUCGUUUUAUAAAAGUUUUCAUUGAAUUUCUAUGAGUAUUGGUCUACCUGAAUUAGGUUUAAUUAGCGUUUUUCUUAUGUUGCGGUUUAGUUUGGUUAAUAAAAUAAAAACUGCAAACCGAACCAAACCUUGCGGUUAAGUAAAAAAGUGAUCCGAAUUCAUCCAAACCAAAUGCAUUUUUUGCGGUUUUAGUUUGAGUUGGUUCGGUUUGCAGUUUUUCUACUGGAUUGGUCAGUUUUGAACACCACUAUUUUUUUUGUCUAGUAGCCUAGUGUCUGGAGCUCACACAAUUAAAUUUGAAGAAGUGGGGUAUCUGGGGUUCAAACCCCGACCCUGUAUAAAUUGUGCAAUGUUCUUAUCAAUUGAGCUAAGCUCACGGGGACGUUUCGAACACCUCUAGUGCUAAUGCAUAUAAAUUAUGAAUAUUUAGUAGUUUUUAUGAAAUUUUAAUUUUGAUUAAAAUUAUAGAUAUAGAUAUUUUGUUCUUUAUAUUCUAACAAAUUAUACUUAUUUUUUUUAAAUAACACUAACAAUAUAGCAAAUAUAAUAUAAAUUCUUAUCUUUUUAUUUAUAUUUUUAUUUUUAUAAGCCUUAUUUCAUAAGCCGUUUUCAGCAAAUUUUCAAAAAUGUUUUCAAAAUCAUUUAUGAAAACAUCUUAUAUAUGAAAACAAUUUAACAUAAAUUUAUCUUUUGCUGUAGAAAUAGUUUAUGCAUAAGUGCUCAUCAUAAUUAAUAAGAACUUGCGCUAUAAAUUAUUUAUCCAAACAUGGCCUCUAUUCAUUACUAUUCAACUUAUGAAGCGUGUAAGAAUUAUACUCCCCGAUGUCCAAAAAGGAACUGAAAGGUGAGCAUUUCUUAAUUCAUUGAUUUAGAAUUAUUAAGUUAUGUUUACAAUUUUUCAUGGUUCAUAUUUUUUUUCAGUUUUCAGUAGGACGCCUAUCUUACUUUUUAAUGAUUUAUUCUAUUGAAUUUAUAGAGAAAAGGAGGGAAACUGAAAAGUUAUAAAUCUGUUAUUGAUCAAAUGACUCCCUAAAACUAGUUCUGCAGUAUACCAAUCUUAUAUAUCAUUAAAAGCUUACUAGGGUUUUUUAUACAAGAAAAUGUUAAUGCUUAGUAUAUUAUGUAAGUAACCUGAAUUGGAAUCUUAGACCUCAUGUUAAGCAGUGGUUUAGAGUUUUUUUUUAUAUAAGAAAAUGUUAAUUGUAGUGAGUUAUGUUAGUAACCAGACUUGUUAGUUAUUGAUUUGAAUUCUGUUACAACUCAGACACUUAAGCUACCCCUUGAGGAUAAAAUUAUGCAAGAGUUACUUACAACAAAUAACUGUAGUAACCAUCGAUUUCAGAACUGGAUCCGCUGAUUGAACCAGGAAUCGGCCAGUCUAUACCGGUUGUUCAACCAUGGUCGGUUAUAAGUCUGUCAGAACCUCAUUCAACCAUGGUUUAUUCAACCGAAUCAUUGUUUUUUCGAAUGUUCAUACAUAUUUCGGGAAAUAUUCUUUAAUUCCUGGAUAUGAAAGACAACCAAAAUCUCAUAUUAGUUUUAUUCAUGGUCCUAUGUUAAAACCUGUUCUAUAAAGUAGCUGAUCUUAUGUACGCCUGAUAUAUUUGAAGUUUGAUCCUUCUGUUUGCAUAGGCUGUUCUUUGAUGAUAUUGAAAAUGAAUAGUAUAAUUGCAUAGUAGUACUCAACAUAAGUGAAUGUCUUUUAUUGUUAUAGGAUAGAACCUUUCAAAUCAAUCUCCGAAGCAAGAAGCUUACAAGCAAUGAGAAGUUUAUGAAUAUAAUAUUAAUGUGAUCUUUAGUUACGAAGAAUGAACUUGAUGAAGUUGAAUGCAUUGUUACGAUGUUCCUGACUAAAAUGUUGAUAUCCACACUUAAGAACAUAGGUAGACAUAAAAUGCAAAUUAUUUGGUCCGAACAAAACUAUAAAAAUCGUACAAAAGUCACUUAAGUUCGAUUUUGUUUGAGUAACACCUCCUUAAUCACUUUCUCCAAGUUCAUGUAUGAACAGCCUCCAGGUCUCGUGUCCUCCUCCACCUUCUUCUUCAACUCAAUUGCCUUUUGCCUCAUCUUCUUUGCUUUCUCUCCCACCAUCAAUUCAUUAACCAGCUUCUCCACCUCCUCUCUCUUCACAUUAGUGUCGAUUUCAAUUCCAAUUUUCCAUGUAUUGCAUAAAUAUCUGCAGCUUACUGGGUGAUCAGCGAAAAAUGGCCAACACAACAUUGGAACUCCAGCAGAUAUGCUUUCAGUGAUUGAGUUCCAUCCGCAAUGAGUCAAGAAUCCACCAAUUGAAGGGUGGUUCAGUACUUGCUCUUGCGGACACCAGCUCGUUAUUAGGCCUCUAUCUGAAAUUUCAUUCACAAACUCCGAUGACAAAACAGCUGAGCCGCCGAUGACAAGAUCGGGCCUAAUGAUCCACAAAAAGGGUUGCUUGCUAUUUGCUAAACCCCAUGCAAACUCUAACAGUUUUUCUGCAGUCAUAACUGUCAAGCUCCCAAAAUUCACAUAAACAACAGACCUAGGUUCCUUGGAUUCAAGCCAAUAAAGACACUUGGUAUCUUCUUUCCAAAAAUUGGUGCUUAAAGAUGUCAAAUGGUUUUCUGGACUUUGAUUUAAAAACGAAGAUAAAGGGCCAAUAGCAUGAAUACAAGGGAACACAGUGGAGAGAGCAUUCAUUACAUCCUUCUCAAGUUCAUUAGAAGUGUUUAAAAUAUAAGCAGAGGGUCGGUGAGCCCUUCCAGACGCUUCAAGGAUAAAUUCUACCAUGGAAUCAUUUGGAUAUUUUGCUCUUACAAAGUCCGGAAGAUCCUUGAUUCGGAAGUUUUUCAUGUUGGAAAUUUAGGUCUUAAUAUAAACAGAUUUCAUAAUACAUGUUCAACAACUAUGAAUCAAUAGCGGAAGCAAACAAAACAUUGAACAUGAUUAUGAUCGGAUCUACGACAUGUUUGAUUUACCAAGGAUAUUAAGAAUUAGGGUAUUAGGAAUACCUGGAUAAAGCUUUUGUAACAACCCUCUCAUCAACAACGAUAACCAAAGAGAGGAGAUGAUCUGAAACACGCAAUAGAGUUAGCGGCGGCUGAUUUGGUUCUUCCUCAACCGGUACCUUUAUGCCUCAAGUUCUCUUCAGAUGGGGAGAAGAGAGAGUAUUGCCGUGUACGGUGUAUUGGGGACCAUAGCCUCUUUUAUAUUGGAUGGCCAUUAGGGUUUCCCAUUAUUCCAUUAAUGGGUCAUCCGGACAUCCACUCAUGUUGAGUCCAUAUCAACUAAUUAAAUAAUUAAUUAUCCAAAAUAGAAAUCUAAUUAGCCUUAUUACUUAAUUUGAUCACUAAUCAAUUAAGGCUCACAAUUGAUAAAUAGCUAAUAUAAUUAUUAUUACGAUAUUUGCCCACAUAAUGAUAUUGGAAUAUUAUUAAUUAAUAAAAUAUUCCAACAUUUCAGUCCUGGAAUACAAUCUACUUUAGUGUCCAAAUAUCCGUUUGUGAGAUAACUGUCAUCUGUACAUCAAAUUACAAAAUCUGUUAACUUGAAAUGUCAUAUUAAUACUUUAACUACACUACAUCUAUGAAGAAAGAAAGAAGAUUAAUUGAUUGUUACCUUUUAGUGGUAUGACACCUUUGUCAAACAGUGUAGGUAAGUGAAAACAAGUCAAAAACAUACAUGCACUGGCUGGACUAAAGAAAACAACAGGGAUUGAAAGUUCUUCAGCAGCUUGUAUUGUAAAAUACAUGCUAUUAUCAGAAACUAUGCAAGUAACUGGAGGGACAAGACCAGAAGUGGCAGAGUCAUUAAGUCUAGCAAGAAGUUCACAAAAAGGUUGUAGGAAGUUCUUUCUGAUUGAUUCACAUAGAGCAUAUAUGUCUUGAUUAACAUCACUAUCGCCUUCUAUCGGAGUUAAACCAUCUGGAAUAGUCUCAAAGGUAAAAUCGGUGAAACCAUCAAACGCUUUUGGACCUCUUGAUUUGAGCAAGCGUUUGUGAUUGUAUUCGGUGUUGACAAAGGUUAUGUGAAAGCCUCUAAGGUGAAGAAGCUUUGCUAGUGUUAUUAAUGGAGUGAUAUGUCCUUGAAGUGGAUAUGGAAUCAACACUGCAUGUGGCUUUUUAUCAGAAAAAUGACUCAUUUCUGAGUUUUCU